GGGACUUGUACUUGUAAGGGUGCUUGGGUGGUGAUGGUGGUGGAGGUGGUGGAGACUUGUACUUGUAAGGGUGCUUGGGUGGUGAUGGUGGUGGAGGUGGUGGAGACUUAUACUUGUAAACUGGAGAUGGUGGGGGUGGAGACUUGUACUUGUAAGGGUGCUUGGGUGGUGAUGGUGGUGGUGGUGGGGACUUGUACUUGUAAGGAUGCUUGGGUGGUGAUGGUGGUGGAGGUGGAGGAGACUUGUACUUGUAAGGAUGCUUGGGUGGUGAUGGUGGAGGAGGUGGUGGAGACUUAUAGUUGUAAACAGGAGUUGGUGGGGGAGGAGAUUUGUACUUGUAAGGCUUCUUGUGUGGUGGUGGUGGUGGAGAGUAGACCGGAGGAGGCGGUGGUGGAGACUUGUAAUGGUAAGGUGGUGGUGGGUACUUCUUAGGUGGUGGUGGAGGAGAAGAAUAAGUGUAAUCUGCUGAGGUUUCAAAAGGCAAAUUGAGAGACACUGCUAAAACUAAAAGAGUGAGAAAGAGAGAGGUCAUUGAUGACCCCAUUUUCCCCAUCCUUACUUCUAAAAAUGGGUUUAAUUUGGUUAUGCUCUUAGCAGCCCUCUUCACUCCCUUUAUAUAGACUUUGUUUUAAAGUUACAAUCAUGAUAAAAGUGUGAAGGUGGACCGAACCUUCAGCAGCAUUGAAAAAAGACGUUACGUUUAGGUUAUUAGCAUGGUAUGACAUAAUAAUUCUCUAUUCUCUUCCUUGUCGUUUCCCAUAAAUUUAAUUUAAAUAGUCCAUUUGCUAUAUUUAUAUUUCUGUUUCUCUAUUAAAUAUUUAUCAAAUUCAUUUCUCACUCCUUAUAGAAUAUGAAUAAUUAAUCAUUAAACUCGAUUUAGUAAAUACUUUAAAAAAUGAUUUAUCUUAUUUUUAUGCUUUAAUUAAGGCAUCAAAUCAUUAAUCCCAUUUGAUAUUAUGAAAAUUUAUCACUUAAUUGAUCAAAAUGUGAUUCUUGGCAGGAAAACAUAAUUUACUUUCCUUAAAAUGUAAUUUUUAUUGAGAGUUAUUUUUCCACUAACAAUAGAAAGUGAUUCUCUUUAUAAUUCGUGAAAAAAUUACUUUCACAUGUAAAUAAAAAUUGUUAGGAUAAAAUUAACUUUUCUUUUAUUUAUGUUAAGGUUACUAAUUAACUUAUUCAACUUUAAUAAAAGAUAAACAUAGUUGUAGCUUGUUUGUUGAUGUUAGUUUUUUGUCUUUACAACUUCAAACCAUUAUUCUAGUGUAAUUUUUUUUUCUUUCUAAAUAGUAGAUAAGUAUCUAUAUUUUAUUUUGCUAUAAGAAAAUUAUAUUUUUUAGCAUACAAAACUUAAGAUAACUUGUAGAAUCAAGUAGUUGUAUACCUAUUACUCUAGCAAUAAUAAUAUUGACAUUGUCUACUUUCAAAUUAAAAUUUCAAAUUAGUUCAUUGCCCAAUUUUCUCAUUAAAAAAAAUUAUAUAUAACAUGUCAACUUAACGAAACUUACAUGAAAUUUUGUAUGUGUUAAAAAUGAAAAAUAUGGCGGUUAUUAAAAAAGAUGUCAUACAUCUAAAUCAAACUACUAAUUUAAAAAUUAGUAUUGAGAUAAUUUCAAGCCAUAUAUGCAAUAUUUGAGUAUACUUGAACUUAUACAUACAAAUUAGUGAGGAUUAAAAUUUUGUAAAUUGUACAUCUUCACAAUCUUGCGUUAAUAUACAAUUUUUUUAAUGUAUUAAUAUAAUGUUUUAGAUCAAGACGUGAAAAAACAUAAUUCAAAUAUUUGUUAAUAGUAAAAAAUUAUUAAUAAAUAUUUAAUUCAAAAUUUAUUAAUAAUAAAAAUUAUUGAAAAAUAUUAAAUACGUUAAUAUUAUUUUUAUUUAAUAAUGAUACUUUUGUACAGUAAUCUUAUAUUCCCAAAUAAGUGUUAAAUGUGUCAAGAUUUUAAUCAAUACUUUCCGGUGAUUACCAAACGUUGUGAAGUAACUUCUUAAACAAUAAUAUUCUUAUCAAUCACAUUCCAUUAAAAUUUUAACAUAGAAAAGCACCAAAACGCCCCCUUAAAAUCGUGGUAAGUCUUGUUUGUCUAAAAUUUAAAUAUUUAUUUUAUUAUUUAAAAUAUAUUAAUUUUCUAAAAAAAAUCAUUAAUAUUUAUAUUUCUAAUUUUAAACAUUCUUUUGUUAAUUAAAUGAUAGUCUAAACGGUUAAACUCAAAUCGAAAGCAUUUUAUCUUAUAUUAGAUUAUAUGAAUCAUAUUAUGGUUGAAAGUAAAAUGUAUAAAAUCAAUACAAACAUCAAAUAUUAAACUUCCACUCAAUAGAUUUUAAAAUUUCUAAUUUUAUCACUAAUCUAUUUUAAGAUUUUUUUAAAAAAAAUCGUACUUUAGAUUAUCUAAUUUAAAAUUUUAUAAAAUUAUUAAAAAAUAUUCUUGUAAUAAAAAAAAUUUGUUUUAAAAUUUUUAAUUUUUUAUAUAACCAAUGAAUUUUUUACGUUUGUUUUAACUGGUUAUCUAAACAAAAUAAAAACUUAUUUAGUUUAAAUAAAGUGGUAAAUGUGAAAGCACCACAAAUCACAACUACAUUAGUUUUAUAAUUGGAUUAAUUUAAUCACCGGCAGAGGAAAUGUGUUAGUUCUAGCUACCAACAAUUCAUUUUAAUUCCUUUAAAAAUAUUAGAAAAAACCAAUUUGAUUUUUAAUAAUAGAUCUAAUUACUUAAAGGAACAUGGGUGAUGUGCACAUGGCAUACAAGCAUAAAAAAGAACAAAAAGAUUAAGUAUCUUUGCAAAAUAUCUCUCUCUGAAAUAAAUAAAACUUAAAAAAAAACAAUUUUAUUAUCAAAAUAAAAAGAAAAUAGUGUUUUUCUUCACAAAAAAAGAAAAGAAAAGAAAUACUAGUGUUUUUAAUUAAAAUAGAGUGAUCUGGGUAGAAUCUUUUACUUAAAUACUGACAUUGACUUUAUAAGCUAUUUUUUAUCAAAAGAAGAAAGAGAAAAGCAUCCGAUUGAAGAUGUGAAUUAUUAAGUUAAAAUUAAUCAUACAUGUAAAAUAUUAUUGUGCUUUUUUCUAGCCCUCCGAAAGACAUUAUGCUUUGAUUACAACAUUCUUCCUCAGAGAUGAGGUUUGAAGAUGAACUCGGAUGCAUUUAGAUUUUUACAAGACGAAAGUAAAUUAAAGGAUGUUAGUACUUGUAUUCCGAUACGCUUAUAAUACAGAAAGCAAGUAAUAUGUGACUGUACAUAAUGGCUAUGAGGCGAGGAUAUGAUACGAGAAGAUAGAGAUGAGAGAUUGCACUUAAGGGGUUAGCACCUCUUUUCUUUUUGUGUUUGGUCCCCAAAGCAUAUCUCUUAUUGGCUGAUGUUGCAAGGCGGUCCCAUAAGUUGGGCUAAAAGUGCUUGAUAGCUAGAAUUAAUAUUGUGGUAUAACAUAUGUCACCCCUAUAUUUGAAUAAGGUUACAAAGUGACUACUUGAAGAUUUAAAAAAGCAUGGAGAUAAUUUUGUUGCGAAAAUUAAAAGUAAGAGCUAAAUUGUUUGGCUUUAUUAGAGUAUAGACUCUGUUAGUCUAUUAUCAUUUUGUUAUAUAGGCUGGAAUAUUAUUAGUAAGCAGUUAGCAGCAGUUAGUCAUACAAGUAUAAAUUCUAUUCAUGUAUUGUUCAAAGAUAAGCUAAUAAUACCAGAAGAGAUUUAACAUGUUCAUUCUACUUUUUUUUGUUAUUCUUCAUAAUACAGUUGUUAACAUGGUCUCAGUCGCCAAAUUUCUUGGAGGUUGCUUCUAUUGUAGAUCCAUGGCCAAUUCCACUGAUUCUACCUUCGCUGGUCGUAGCAGUCCCUCAUUCUCAGUUCAUGUUUGGUUCAAUCGUUUCCUCGUCAUGGCACUGUGAAGUUAGAUGAAGGAAAUUUUGUACAAUGGCAACAGCAUAUCCAAUUGAUAAUUGAAGGAUAUGAACUCAUAAGAUUUUUAGAAGGGACGUUACCUGCUCCGCCUCGCUUUGUGUCAUCUCCGGAUGGAAACUUAGCUCUGACUCCCGAUGCAUCCCUGUUUGUUCAGCAAGAUAAGUUACUCGCUUAUUGGUUACUUUUUACGAUUAGUGCUCCUUUGUUUUCUUGUUUUACAACUGCUAAGACGGCGUGUGAGGUUUGGAGCACUGCGAAUUGCCUAUUUGCUGCUGCCACUAGAGCCAAGCUUUCGCGUAUUAAGCAUGAACUCCAGUCCAUCACGAAAGGCGUGAUGACUAUCAAAGAGUAUAUUGCUAAGAUUCAAAAUACUUGUGCGUUACUCGAGGAAUCUAGAUCAGUGGUUUUAAAGGCUGAAAAGGUAGAGAUCAUUCUUGCCGGCCUAUUGUCUGAUUAUGAUGUCGUUUUAACUCUGGCAUCGUUCUCAACUGAAACUUUUUCGUUAUAAAAGAUUGUUGAUAUGCUUCUGGAGUUCGAAAGCCAUCAGACUCAAGCGGUGAACGACGUACCUUUUCAUGCUCAUUUGGUAGAGGCCACUUCGGCGACAUCCGUGGAGGACUCCGUACGUGGUGGUCGUCCUCCUUCUGGUGCUCGUAGGCGCGACUUUCGAUCUCAGCUUCAGUGCCAGGACUAUGGUUGCUAUGGACAUUUGGUACAAUGCUGUUAUUAUCAGUUCAACCGCGACUACAGUGAUCUGUCUGUUUUGACCAUGGCGCGGGUUUCGCCUGUUCAUGCUGAUCACAAUUAGCAUAACGAUGUUUUUGGCGCAAGUGGUCUCUCGACUAGCUGGUUUUCAUCAACUUGUCCUGGUCCGGACCCGUUCGUGCCUGGACAGUAUGUCGAUUCUUUGGUGGUGACACCGGCGUAUUUCUCUUAUGGCUCAUCAUGGUGAGGGUGGCCACAUUUGCAAAACAAUGCCUCCCUUGUGCCAAGUUUGUUGAAUGUUAAGGUUUCUAACCCUUUUGCUCAUAAUUUUGACGAUGGGGCAGGCUAGGUGUUUGGGCUCGCUGUUGGACCAAGCUCAAAUUGUGGCCAAUUUGGUGGUCCUCACUUACCGCGGAGAAUGGGCCAGCACGUUAGGCCAUUUGCUAGUGUUCCUAGGCCGACUGGUUCAGGCCAAGAUUUUGGGCCAUAUGGAAUUCGUAGGCUAACCAGUGCUGGUCCUAACAUUGGACAGGGUUCACUUGGGCCAAAUGUUAAUUUUGUUAGACUUGAGGGCUCUUUUGGGCAUGGACAAGGACUUUGGCCCACCACUGGCAAUGUUUCAGUGCCAAAUAAUGGGUCAUGCGUUCCAUGGCGCACUAAACUGACGGCGCACAUUAUUGAUUGAUUUCUCACUGUGUGUUGGGUUGCCUCACAUUCUUGAUUUUCAUGUGUCUGAUAUUUUUACUACCUCUGGGUCCAAUGCUAACACGACUCCGUAUGGGUCUAAUUUUGAUAAUGAUAACUCUUACAUUCCUAUGCCUGUAGGGACCUUGUCCUGGUGUCUUAAUUCAGGGUCUAUACAUCAUGUCUAUCGAGAAGCCUCUACCUUGAACGAGUCUACGCCAUACUCAGGUACAUCUCCUCUCCUCAUGGAUGAUAUUACUCCUACAAAAAUAUCAUGUGUUGGAAACUCUAUCUUGCCUACGAAGACUAAGCUGUUUCAUCUAUCUAAUGUUUUGUGUGUGCCAAAUAUACGGAAGAAUCUGCUAUCUGUCUCUCAAUUUGCUAAUGACAAUAAUAUGGUCUUUGAAUUUCACCCGUCUUAUUGAGGACAUCCAGACUCAGGAAAUUUUGCUUCGGGGCCACACUCGUGAUGGGCUCUAUUAUUUUUCGUAGGUUACUCAUGUUCCGUCUGUCGUUGUUCCUUCUGUUCACAACACUGGGCUCCAGAGUCGCAAUGCCGGUGAUGAUGUUUUUACGUUAUGGCACUACAGACUUGGUCAUCCGUCUGCCUCGAUUGUUAAACUUGUUCUCGAUAAGUGUCAAGUUGUUUCAACUAAAAUGUACCUUGAAAAUAUUUGUAUUGCUUGUCAAAAGGGGAAGUCCCAUAAACUGUCUUUUUCAAGUUCUACUACUAAAUAUACGGAUUUGUUUGAAUUGGUUGUCUUUGACUUAUGUGGACUGGCAUCUGUUGUCUGUAGAAAUAAUCUGUAUCAUGUUUCGUUUAUCGACAUGUGUAGUUAUUUUACUUGGAUUUAUCUCAUUAAACGUAAUUCUAAGGAGGUUGAAUGUUUUCUUCAGUUUCAGAAAAUGGUCAAAACUCAGUUUGGGAAAGAUAUUAAAAAAAUUCAAAGUGAUUGGGGUGGUGAGUUUCUUGCCUUUACGUCAGUUCUGGCUAGUCAUGGGAUACUUCAUCACCUCUCCUGUCCAUAUACAUCCGAGUAGAACGAUGUAGCUGAACGAAAACAUCGACACAUUGUUGAGAUGAGUCUUAUUCUAUUGGCCAAAGCUAACCUAUCCAUGGAUUUCUGUGGUUUCGUAUUUUACAAUGCCAUUCAUCUCAUUAGUCUUCUACCGACCCUAGUUCUGAAAGGUCAGUCUCCAUAUCAGGUUCUUCAUGGUAGUGACCCUACAUAUGAUCAUUUACAAGUAUUUAAGUGUUGUUGAUUUUCGUACCUGCGUCUGUUUCUGCAACACAAGUUGGAUUUUCAUUCUCAGCCAUGCAUAUUUUUUAGGUAUAGUUCUCAACAUAAAGGCUAUCACUGCCUCACACCAAAUGGUAAGGUCAUUGUCUCUCGUCAUGUUGUGUUUGAUGAACGUUGGUUUUUCUUUUCUUCAAAUGCUGUGAACACCGUUCAGUUAAGUCCAUGUAUCUCUACAUAUGUUCCUAUUGUUCGGUCUUCAUCUUGCCGCCCCACGACAUCUUCGCUUGUUCGACCCACUGAGUCAUCGACUCUUGCUCCUAAUUGUAGUUCCACGCUGUCUGUUUCAGUUGACACUCCGGCUGAAUUAGGUUUUACUCAUGAGGUGCAUCGGCUCUCUACCUCAUCCCUUGAAUCUCGUCAAUGCGAUCCAACUACAAUUCCAUUGGCUGUUCCAUCUAUUUCUCUGGAAUACUCAUAACACUAUUACUCAGCUAGACCCAAAGCUCUGUCUGUUGAAAUUGUCAACUGUGAGUCGAUCACGAUUGAAGAGGCGCUCGCUAGUAAGGAAUGGCAAUUAGUUGUCCAAGCUGAGUUUGUUGCUAUAAUGGUUAACUCCACUUGGGAGCUUGUUCCCUUACCUCAUGGUCGAAAAGUGAUUAGGUGUAAGUGGCUUUUUAAAAUAAAAAAAUCCUGAUGGGACUAUCACUUGACGUAAGGCUCGGUUGGAAGCAAAGGGUUGUUCUCAGGUACUCAGGUGUGAUUUCAAGGAAACCUUUAGUUUGGUAGUUAAACCUGCUACUAUUAGAACCAUAUUAUCUGUUGCUAUCUCCAACGGUUGGCAAUUUGGUCAGGUAGAUGUGAACAAUGCUUUUUUAAAUGGUGAUCUUAUUGACGAAGUGUUCAUGCAGCAACCUCUAGGCUAUGUUCAGAUUGGUCAAAAUGGUGAGCCCUUGGUGUAUCAUUUGACAAAGGUGUUGUACAGAUUAAGACAAGCUCCACGUGCUUGGUUUGAUAAAUUGAAACGUUUUUUUGUUUCUAUUGGAUUUGCUUUAUCCAAAUCUGAUGUAUCCUUAUUUGUUCAAGUUAAUUCGAAUCCACUAUUUAUGUUUUAGUCUAUAUGGAUGAUAUUAUCGUUACUAGAAGUACGAUCGACGGUAUAAAUGGCUGUAUUCAAUAGUUACAUAAUGUGUUUCCCUUAAAGAUAUGGGAGAUCUUUACUACUUCUUAGGCAUUGAAGUCACUCGGUAGUCCACUGGGAGUCUCCAUUUGUGCCAACGCAAAUACAUUCGGGAUCUUCUUGACAGUAGUUUUUUAGCUAAUGCAAAGAGUGUUCACACACCGAUGGUUAGUUCUUUUACGUUGUUUAAAGAUGUGGGAGAUCGCCUCGUUGAUCCUACUGGAUAUAGAAGUCUUGUCGGUGUAUUACAAUAUGUGGUCUUGACUCUGCCUGAUAUUGCUUAUGCUAUAAAUCAUGUUUGUCAAUUCAUGCAUGCCCCUACUACAGUACAUUUGGUGGCUUUGAAAAGAAUCUUGCACUAUUUAUGUGACACUAUUAAUCAUGGGUUAAUUUUGUCUGUUCAACAUAUUGUCUUUAGUUGGCUAUGCUAAUGCCAACUGGGGACUGGAUUUUGAUGAUCGUAAAUCAACAACAAGCUAUUGUUUGUAUUUUGGGUAUACACCCAUCUCUUGGUGAUCUAAGAGACAACUCUACUGCGUGAGGCGAAGUAUUUUGGCCGCACCAUGGCUGAGGUGAAGUAUCGAAGUCUAGCAACAACUACCAGUGAUGUUACUUGGUUAGUCUCUCUACUAACAAAAUUACAGAUUCAUUCUAUAGAUCCACAUACUAUUUGGCGUGACAACUCUAAUGCAGUAGCGGUCAUUGCUAAUCCGGUCUGACACUCUAAAUUUAAACAUGCCAAGCUUGAUCUAUUUUUUGUUCGCGAAAAGGUCGCUAAUGGUUCUCUCGUUGUCGGUGAGAUUCUAGCAUGUGAUUAAGUUGCUGACAUUCUCACAAAACCACUGUUCGUCUCUACUUUUGCUAGGUUUCGUAGUCUGCUUCAAUUCUUACCUCUUGAGAAGCUGGGUGAAGCCAGGUGAAUAUUAGAGUAUAGACUCUGUUAGUCUGUUACCAUUUUGUUAUUCAGGCUGGAAUAUUGUUAGUAAGCAGUUAGUCAUAGCAGUUAGUCAUACAAUUAUAAAUUCUAUUCAUGUAUUGUUCAAAGGUAAGCUAAUAAUACCAAAAGAGAUUUAAUGUGCUCAUUCUACUUUCUUUGUUAUUCUUCAUAAUACAGUUGUUAACAUGCUUGAUAUCAUCUCUUAGAGAGAACGAGGAGAGAUAAGAGUAAGAGUAUGAGCCAACUAGGGAUAAGGCUCUACCAUAAUACCUUGGAUGCAAUUAAAGUAAGAGUAAGAGCCAACUUGUUUGGCUUGAUAGCAUCCCCUUAUAGAAAAGGCUCUACCGCAUGGCAUGAGAGCAAUAAAAGUAACACUCAAUUUCUUGGGUUGAUAGCAUCUCCUUAGGGAAAAGGGUUUACCAUGUGACAUGAAAGCAAUUAAAGUAAGAGUAAGAUCCAACUUGUUUGUCUUAAUAGCAUCAUUUAAGAGAAAUAUCCCAAUCAAUUUAUUCAAAUAUGUUAAUCAAAUAAUGCAAGUUACAAUGUUCUGUCAGUUUUUCCUUUAAUUGUAACUGGGUUAAAGUUGGUAGUUGUAACUGCUACUAAUAGAAUGGAUACGGUAGAAAUGGUUGCAAGCAACAUAAGCAAAGAUGACUUUAAUGUCUUUGUAUUGACCACGUGAGAACUAUAGAAUGCAGAGAAUAGUAUGGUGAUUGGCAACAGAAUGCUACUAACCUUGAGGAUAGUAGACAGGGAUGGAUCCACGGGGGUUGGGGGCGGUCCCCCCUUGGAAUUUUUAAAAUUUUAAAUUUUAUAUAUAAAUUAUCAUGUAUUUUAAAUUUGGUGUCCACAUUGUAUAGCAUUCACCCCCCUUUUCCAAAUUGCAUUUCAUAUCAUUUGCCCUCUUAAGCCAUAAGGUUAUACUUUAUAUUAACAAAGUAUUUUCCAUUUUUUAAUUAUAUAAAUUUAAUAAUAAUAAUAAUAAUCAAAUAUUAAUAUAUGAUUGGCAUUGAAAGACUAAACAUAAAGGUCCAGUUGAGACUUUAAAGCCAAAUUCCAUAAUUAAUUAAUUGAUUUGGCCCAUACCAGUACAUAUUAGGUUAGCGAAAUUCUUGUAUUUUGAUUUGUAUGUCUUGCUAAGGAAUUAUCUUCCUUUGGUAAGGUGUUGACACUGCCAAGAGAAAAAGAAAGGAUUUUGAUGUCGAGAUUGUGAGCAUAGAGUAAAAAAAAUACAAAUUAUCUUCCUCUUAGCUCCUUAUGGAAAAAACCUCUCGGUAAAUAUUUUUGCAUAAAUUAUGUUUUUUAUUAAUUUGACUUAGUUUUUUUCUUUUUUCCUAAUACAUUGUUGUUUAAUAUAUUCUUACAAUCAUCAGGUUUUUUGACUAAAUUAUGGUCAAUAAAAACAUCGAAUCUAUUUAAAAAAAAAGAGUGUCAGAAAGCAAUAAUGAUCAACCGGUUCCUCAACCUUCCAUUAUUAGUGAAGAAAAAUCAAAUAUCGGAUCUUCCAAAGCUCUUGAACAAAAUAUCAGGUCUUCUUAAGCCCAAGCUCCUAAAUGCGGUAUGGAGUCUUCCCCAACUCCUGAACGAGAUUGUAACAAUCCAUACCCAAUUCGAUCACCAAAUCCAAGUAGAGAGCGCCGCAACUUAAACCAUAUGAAUUGAAUAAUAAAUAUUUGAAAUUUAUUAAAGUAUCGAGUUCUUGGUGUAACCCUCAGUAUAACAAUACGAAACAAUUAAAUCAAUGAUACGCCAGGAAAAAAUGUUUUUAGGCAAAACACAUGGCGGAAGCCUUACAAAAUUUUAUAAGUUUAUAUAAAAUGUAAGAUGAGUUAAUCCCAUACAACAGUUUCAAGUGCAUCGUUGGCGGUUAAAAGAACAUUCAAAAACUAUUCGGCGUAUAUGCCAAUGAGACAAUCACGUGGAACAAGAUAUAGUAGCUUAAACACAUACAUCACUUACCACGUCAUCAUAACAUAUACUAACCAUAUAAACAAACUUAUCGAGCUGCGAACUAACAAGUUCACCCAAACAUCUAGGGUUAGCGAUAACUUAUUAGAAGAGCCCGCCAAACCCUAGAGUUCGCCAAAACCUGGAGUUCACCAAAUGGCGACUCCCAUAGAAUACGCCAAACACACAACCAAAAAUAAAUACUCUACUAAUUUACUCAUUUUAUAUUCUUAGCAUAAACAACUAUGCACCAAACAGUAACUUGAUACAUUAUCUUUCGGGCGAGUUGUUACAAUUCUCCCCCAUUUAGAAACUUUUGUCCUUGAAAUUCUUACCGGUGAAUAACUGAGGAUAUUGUUCUUUCAUCGAACUCUCUCUUUCCCAAAUGGCUUCUUUUGUAUUGUGAUUUAUCUAUAAUACAUUAACCAAAGGAAUUCUUUUACUUCUCAACUCUUUUACUUCCCUUGCUAAAAUACAAACAGGUUCUUCUUCAUAGGACAAGUUUUGCUCCACUUCCAGUGCUUUGACUUGUACCACAUAAUCUGGAUUGGAUUGAUAUUUUCUUAACAUAGAUAUAUUAAACACAUUAUGUAUAUUUGAUAACUCUGGUGGCAACACCAGUUUGUAUGCCACUGGACCAACUUAUUCCAAAAUCUCAUAUGGUUCUAUGAAAUGCAGACUUAAUUUCCCUUUUUGUUCAAACCUUAUGAUCUUCUUCCAAAGAGAAAACUUCAUAAAUGCAUUGUCACCCACUUCGAAAGAGAUUAUUUUCCUUUUUAGAUCAGCAUAAGCUUUCUGGCGAUCUUAAGUUACUUUCAGAUGAUUUCUAAUGAUAAAGACUUUCUCUUCUGUUUCUCAUACUAAAUCAAGACCAACUAUUUUCCUUUUACUGAGUCUCAUCCAAUAGGUAGGAGAUCUGCACCUUCGUCUAUACAAAGCUCCAAAUGGUAACAUUCCCAGACUGUCAUAAUAACUAUUAUUAUACGCAAACUCUAGCAAAGGAAGAUAUCUUUCUCAAUUCAUUCUAAAAUCUAUAAUACAACCUCUAAACAUGUCUUCUAGAACUUGAAAUACUCUUUCAAAUUGCUCAUCGAAUUAGGGAUGAAAGGUAGUACAGAAUCAUUAUUUCGUUCCCAACGAUUCUUGCAGUUGUCUCCAAAAUCUCAAUGUAAACAUUGGGUCUCGAUCUGAAACUAUGGAUGUUGGAAUCCCAUGAGGCGUACAACUUCAGAAACGUAGAGAUUAGCCAACUUUUCCAAUAAGUAAUUUGUGCGGACAAACAAGAUAUGGGCUAACUUAGUAAGUCGAUCUACAAUUACCUAGACUGAGUACUUCUUCGAAAGGAUGAGAGGGAGAGCCAAAACAAAAUCCAUGGUGAUCUUAUCCCACUUCCACAUAGAUAUCUCUAAAAGGUACAACUUGCCUAAGGGAACCUGAUGUUCUAUUUUAAUCUGCUGACAUGUCAAACAAAUGGAAAUGUACUUUGUUAUUUCUUUCUUCAUUUCAAGUCAGUAAUACAAACUUAUCAAAUUAUGAUACAUUUUAUGUAAAACUCUCAACCCAACUCGAAAUGUCGAGUCUGGAUCUCGGGUAUUACUAUACAUAAUACUUGGCAAAAUAUCAAAAUAGUUGACAAAUACUCUUUAUAGAAAACAUUUUCUUAUUAUUUUAACCAAAAGACUAAAUAUUUAAUAACAAGAGAAAAUAUUAAAAACAAAAAAAAAUUAUUACAUCAGACUUGGUACAACUCAUUAUAGUAUAAAAUUUUGUUAAAGACAUACUCUUGGGGCAUAACCCUAAUCUAAGCCACUUUUCCACUAUAUGCAUAAUAACCCACUUCGCCACUAUCUUGGCGUACUCCUAGCAUCGUCACUCCUAAUGCAUUCUCUACCCAUACACCUGAAAACAACAACAUUUUAAGCUUAAGAUAACUUAGUGACUUUUAUCCCAAAAAUACCUUGGCGAGUACUUUAUAUUAUUUGAAGAACAUUUGUGCGCCAUCUAUCCUUCUGAACCACCUUCUUCUGAAUUAAGUGGAUACUAUUAUAGAUUCAACUUUCACUUACACGCCAACUAUCAUACUCUUAACAAACUCACUUAUUCUAGAAUAGUUGUUCACAUAUAUUAAUCACUAAUUGAUACAUUCAUAUUUGGCGAAUACUUACGCAGAUCUGAAUACCAUCAAACUACUAAUCAAAUCAUACCUUGAUCCGAUACCAUACAAACUCAUACUGAUAAUGUACUACACAAAUUAUUCAAAUGAAUUUUCCACUACUUUGUUACAGGACCCCAGAUAAUCAUCAUAACAAUAACUCAAUUUUCAUAUGAUUUCAGAAGAAGAUAUAAUACAACCCAAAUACGGCAAAUUCCAGAUAACUCAGAUUCAACAACUGCUUAACACAUACGAACUCACAUUUAUAAUUUCUUAUGUCCCACAUAACUACGACUAUGUCUAUAUUCAACACUAACAAAUAAUCAUGACGGAUACCCUUCUUAUACAUAUAUGCAUUUCUUUUCUAGAAAUCUCUUAAGACUUACUCAAUUAUAUCACAUAUCUUAUUCAACCCUUAACUUUAGACAUAUCAUAACCCUAUCAUAUCAAUAUCUAUCACAAAAAAAAUCAGGAUUUAUCCAAAACUUACCAUAAAGGUAGAUAAUCAUAUUAUAUCAGACAAACUUAACUAAAUGUGCCACAAAGGCCAAACAAAAUAUGCCUUAAAGGCUUCAUACAAAAUCACGUGUUUACUAUCCCGACGGACUAUCACAAAAGGUGUCAUGGGUUUCUCCCACAUGGACUUAUACAUAAUUUCAUGUAUUGUGAUCUGCCAUUUUGAAUCAUACGUUAUCGAAGGAUACUCCAUAAGCAUACAUACAGACAUAUCUUGCCAUGUGUCUCAGCCACAUGGCUUAAACACACAUUCAUGUACUGUGAUAUGUCAAUCCAGUCUUACUCUUAUUAGAGCCUACACCAUGAGUGUUUUCAAAUCAUAUUAAGAUGUUGUAGGUCUCAACCUCAUAGUCUUACACUUGUUUUCAUAUCGUGACCUGCCAGUCUAGUUAGCAAUAUAAUUGCCUACCAGAGGCUUCAUAGAGGAACAUUUGCUUAGAUUCACUUACCUAGAUGAUCUGUAACACCCCUUACCCGAGACCGUUGUCAGAGUCGAGCACGAGGUAUUACUUAUCUUAUCUUACUAACUCGAAGCAUAAAAACUUGUUUUAAAAAUUAAUUUCACUAUUUAUAGCAAUUUGUCCAAUCGCGCAGCAGUUACUAAAUUAAUUAUAACUCGAGAUACGGAACUUGAAAUUUAACUCCGUAAAUUUUCCCUGAAACUAGACUCAUAUAUCUUCCUACCAUAAAAAUUUUAGGAUUUUUAGUUUAUCAAAUUAGUACAGUUUAUUAGUUAAAUUCUCCCCUGUUUCACAAAUCGACUGCCCUGACCUCUUAUCACUAAAAAUAAAAUGUAUCAUUGUGGGAUUUUCGUAUAGUGCUACCGCUUGCUUCUACAGAAAAUAGACUCAAUAAGGAAUCUAUACAUAUAAACUACAACUCAUAAAUAUUUUUUUAAAAUUUUUAAUGAUUUUAUAAACUCAAAACAGGGGUCACCAAAAACUGUUCUAACCCUGUCUCACCAAAAUUCACAUAUCUUAAAAUAUAAAUUCCUUUUGCUACACCGUUAUUUUUAUGUGAAAAUAGACUCAACAAGAUUUAUGUCAUUCAAUAUUUAAUUCAUUUUAUACUAUCCUAGGUGAUUUUUCAAAGUCACGUCACUGUUGCUGCCUGAAUUCUGUUUCUUUGCAAAAUUUUACCCUUUUAUGAUUUCCAUGCAUAGUUUAUCACUUAGACUCUUAUAACAACAAACACUUCCAUACUUAACCAUUUUAGCAACCAUUCAUCAUCAAAUACUUACACAUCAUUCUUUAGCAAGAUCAUAAAUACAAACAUUUAAAAUAACUAAAUCCCUUUACAUUCCAUACUCAACAUGGUUCAACAUAAAAAUACCGAGUUGCUGUGGUUGAUAGUGUGGACGAUCUCCGACUUCUUUAGGAUCCUUGAAGUAACCUUGCAAUACUAUAAGAGAAAGAGAAAUAAAAGACGUAAGCAUAAAGCUUAGUAAGUUUACUAGCAAAUAAAUAACAAUAUUUAACUAGAUAAUUAAACUCAAGUGUCUAUAUCUCUAGUUUACUAUUUAGUUAAUCUCAUUCUAGUUCUCUUGCUUGUUUACUUAGUAUACUUGUGUGCAUAACUUACUCCUCUCUUGCUGUAUAGUUGAAUAUCAAUUGAUAAUAUAAUAAGUUAUUAACUCUUAUAACUUACCUGAACUUGCCAUUUAUGUUUUUAACUGAACUUUCCUGAACAUGAUUCGUUAUUUAGCCCGUUGAGCUACAUUGGAACAAUAAGGAUACUCGGGUCUCUUCUGAUAAUAACAUGCCAAAGCCAUGUCCCAGACAUGGUCUUACAUGGGAUGUACUCAUGUCGGUGCCCAUUCCAUAUCCCAGACAUGGUCUUACGGGGGACCUCUCAUCUCGGUGCCAAUGCCAUGUCCCAGACAUGGUCUUACAUGGGACCUCUCAUCUCGGUGCCAACGCCAUGUCCCAGACAUGGUCUUACAUGGGACCUCUCAUCUCGGUGCCAACGCCAUGUCCCAGACAUGGUCUUACAUGGGACCUCUUUACCCAAAUGUCAUGACAUUCGUAUCCAGUACCAUCCUUACUAUUCAUGACAACCGAUAUAUAUAUAUACAUACUCACUAUUCACAAGGACUCGAACGAUUAUAUACUCAUCAACCACCUUAAAACAAUGUUCAUAAACUUAUCCAUUUCAUAUAAACAAAAGCAUAUAUAUUUAUAACCAAUGCAUAGAAUCACUUAAUUUAAACAGAUUCACUGGCACUUCACCUGAUAGGCUUAUAGUUUAAUUCAGUUCACCGGCACUUAGCCUACUAGGCUUGUAGCCUGAUUCAGUUCACCGGCACUUAGCCUGCUAGACGUAUAGUCCGAUUCAAUUCACCGGCAUUUAGCCUGCUAGACGUAUAGUCUGAUUCAAUUUACCGGCACUUAGCCUGCUAGACGUAUAGUCUGAAUAAUUUUACUGGUAAUAAAUCCGAUAGUAAUUUCUCCGUUGAAAUUGAAUUAUAUUCAAUUCUGCGUAACAAACAUGCACUUAAAACAUACUUGCAUAAUUCACAACAAUAAUUUCAGUCCAAAGAGCUGUAAUUCAUAUUCGAACUAUAUAUAUAUAAAUCCAUACAUAAAAAUUCAACUCAAAAUUUAUAACCUAUAUCUUUGAACCACAUAGGUACAUGAAAUUCAAACACCAAAAUCCAGCUCAAUAACUUCAUGAUUCAACCUAACAAAUUUAUGUAUAUAACUUUUUAUCUAAUUUCAAUACAAUAACUUAUACAUGUACGUAUAUACAUAUUCGAAUCUAACAUAUACAUAUAUAAUUUCAUACUUAAAUAUAUUCAAGACUUAUUCAUGAGUAUACAUAUAUAUUACAACUCACAUGUACAUAUAUAUACACAUUCAUACCUUUAACCAAGUCCAAGGCUUUAUACAUGUAUAUGCUUAUAUAUAUAUAUUCGGACCUUAUGUUUACAUAUAUAUAUUAUAUAAAUACCUUUGAUUAAAAACAAGUAUUUAUACAUAUAUAUAUUUUCGAACAUGAUACAUAUAUAUUUAUAUCAUUCAUACUUAAACAAAAUUCAAUCCAUAUACUUUCAAUUUCAGCUCACCAAAUUACUAUAGAUAUACAUGCAUAUAUACUGAUUUAAUAACCUCAAAUUGCUAAUAGACUUACCUCGGAUAUCAGCGGACACGAUCGAGUAUUCGAUUACUUUCGUUUUUCCCCGAUCCAAAUUCGUUUUCUUCGUUUUUUAUCUUAAUUAGACCUAGAGAUAGCCGAACCUUGUUGUUCUCUUUUCUUUUCUUUUCUUUUUCUUUUCUAUAUUCGGCCAAGAUGAAGAACAUGGCAUUUAAAAUUUGUUAUAUUAAACAUAUAUUAGCCUUAUUUUUAAUUUACUAUAUUAACCUUUACAUAUAUAUAACAUAUAUAAUAAGGUUACAUUAGUCCUUUGCCACCCACUAACUUACAUAGUGGACUAAUUGCAUAGUAAAACCUCUAAAUUAUAAAGACAACAAGAAUUAGGUCCUUUUAUAAUUAACCCCUAAAUUUUCAUUUUACGCGAUUAAGCCCUUUUAUUAAAUCGGACACUUAAACGACGAAAUUAAAACACGAAAAUUUCACACAAUCAAAUGCAUACAAAACAAUAUUAAUAAUAUUUUUCUAAUUCAAAUUUGUGGUCCCGAAACCAGUAUUCUGAUUAGGGUCAAAAACCGGGUUGUUACAACUCUCCCCCCUUAGGGAUUUUCGUCCCCGAAAAUCUUACCGGUGAAUAGGUUUGGAUAACGCUCUUUCAUUGUAUCUUCUAACUCCCAAGUUGCUUCUUCAACCCCAUGUUUAUGCCACAACACUUUAACUAACGGAAUUUUCUUAUUUCGUAAUUCUUUGAUCUCACGAGCCAGAAUGCUAAUCGGUUCUUCCUCAUAUGUCAUAUCAGAGUUAAUUUCAAUCUCCGUCGGACUAAUCACAUGUGAAGGAUCAGAUCGGUAUCUACGAAGCAUCGAAACAUGGAAUACGUUAUGAAUCUUUUCUAACUCAGGCAGUAACAUCAAUCUAUAAGCAACCAAUCCAACUCGCUCUAUAAUCUCAUACGGUCCAAUGAAUCUCGGACACAAUUUGCCUUUACGACCAAAUCUGAGUAUUUUCUUCCACGGUGAGACUUUUAAAAACACUUUAUCCCCGAUCUGAAAUUCUAUAUCCUUUCUUUUCAAAUUCGCAUAAGAUUUCUGACGAUCCGAUGCUGAUUUCAGACUGUCCCGAAUCACUUUCACUUUCUGUUCGGUCUCUUUAAUCAAAUCAACCCCGUGUAUCUUAUUUUCACUGAGCUCGGUCCAAUACAGUGGUGUACGACAUUUACAACCGUACAAAGCCUCAUAAGGUGCCAUUUUGAUACUAGAUUGAAAGCUAUUAUUAUAAGCAAAUUCAAUCAAAGGUAAGUAUCGUUCCCACGUACCUUCAAACUCGAGAAUGCAACAUCUCAACAUAUCCUCAAGUAUCUGAAUGAUUCAUUCAGAUUGACCAUCUGUCUGCGGAUCGAAAGCUGUGCUAAAAUGUAGUUUCGUACCUAAAGCAUCUUGUAGUUUCUUCCAAAAUCGCGAUGUGAAUCUCAGAUCUCUGUCUGAAACAAUAGAAAUAGGUACACCAUGCAACCUCACAAUUUGUGAAAUAUACAAUUCCGCAAGUUUAUCGAGCGAAAAAUCUGUACGAAUCGAAAUAAAAUGUGUCGAUUUUGUCAACCUAUCAACAAUAACCCAGAUUGCAUCUAUCUUGCUCGGUGUCAACGGUAAAUCGGAUACAAAAUCCAUCGUGACUCGAUCCCAUUUCCAUUGAGGUAUCAUGAUCGGCUGAAGCAACCCAGAUGGUACCUGAUGCUUGGCUUUAACUUGCUGACAAAUUAAACAUUUCGAAACAAAGUCAGAAAUGUCUCGUUUCAUACCUUGCCACCAAUAGUGCUGUUUCAGAUCGUUAUACAUUUUCGUGCUACCCGGAUGAACAGAAAAUCGACUACUAUGAGCUUCCUUCAAAAUCAUCUAAAUUAACUCUGAUUUUUUCGGAACACAUAAUCGGUUUCUAAAUCUCAAACAAUCCUCAGCAUCAACUAAAAACUCCGAAUCAAUAUUUAAGUCACAUUGAGCUCGUUUUGCAGUUAAAUCAUUAUCGACCUUUUGAGCUUCACAAAUCUGUUGUACAAAUAACGGUUUUGCUUUCAACUCAGCUACUAUCGCACCAUCAUCAGACAUAACCAUAUGUGCGUUCAUUGCACGCAAAGCAAACAGUGAUUUUCGACUUAGGGCAUCAGCAACAACAUUAGCCUUUCCCGGAUGAUAGUCAAUCACAAGCUCGUAUUCUUUCAGCAAUUCUAACCAUCGACGCUGUCUCAAAUUCAGAUAUUUCUGAGUCAUCAAAUAUUUCAGGCUUUUGGGAUCGGAAUAAACAUGACAUCUUUCACCAAACAGAUAGUGACGCCAUAUUUUUAACGCAAAUACAAUAGCGGCCAAUUCCAGAUCAUGUGUCGGAUAGUUUUUUUCAUGCGGCUUUAACUGUCUCAAGGCAUAGGCUACAACUUUGCCUUCCUACAUCAAAACACAACCCAAACCAUUUAAAGAUGCAUCACUAUAGAUAACAAACUCUUUACCCGAUUCGGGUUGAACUAAGACUGGAGCUUCGGUCAAAAGAACUUUCAACUGAUCAAAGUUUUUCUGACACUUUUCUGACCACUCGAACUUAACGUCUUUUUGUAGUAGCUUUGUCAUCGGGGUCGCAAUCAUAGAAAACCCUUUCACGAACCGUCUAUAAUAACCAGCGAGCCCCAGAAAGCUUCGAACAUCAGAGACAUUUCUCGGAGGUUUCCAAUCAAGUAUAGCUGAAAUUUUACCUGGAUCAACUCGAAUACCCGAUGCUGACACAACAUGGCCCAGAAAACUAACUUCACGUAACCAGAACUCGCAUUUACUGAACUUUGCAUACAACUGUUUAUCUCGCAAAGUUUGUAACACAAGUCUCAGAUGUUCAGUAUGCUCGGUUUCAUCACGAGAGUAGAUCAAAAUAUCAUCUAUAAAUACUACCACAAAUCGAUCCAGAUACUGUCUAAAAAUCUGAUUCAUCAAAUCCAUGAAAACAGCAGGUGCAUUAGUAAGUCCAAAAGGCAUAACCAAGAACUCAUAAUGUCCGUACCUCGUUCGGAAAGCUGUCUUUGGCACAUCAGAGUCUUUAACUCGCAACUGAUAGUAGCCUGAUCUCAGAUCUAUCUUCGAAAACACAGUAGCCCCUUUCAACUGAUCGAACAAAUCAUCAAUCCGUGGUAACGGAUACUUAUUCUUUAUAGUCACCUUAUUGAGUUGCCGGUAAUCAAUGCACAUUCUCAUUGUUCUGUCUUUCUUUUUCACAAAUAGAACUGGUGCACCCCAAGGAGAGAAACUCGGUCGUGUAAAACCUUUAUCAGUCAACUCUUGCAACUGUACUUUCAAUUCUUUUAAUUCGGUCGGUACCAUACGGUACGGAGCUAUCGAAAUUGGAGUUGUCCCUGGUACUAACUCAAUACCAAACUCUACCUCUCGAAUAGGUGGCAAACCCGGUAAUUCUUCGGGAAACACGUCUGAAUACUUACACACUACUGGCACAGAUUCAAUCUUCUUUUCGGUCACUUUACUAUCAAGAAAAAAUGCAAGGUAAUCUUCACAACCUUUUCUCACAUACUUCUGAGCCGACAUCGAGGAUAUUAUUGCUGGUAAACCAUUCAGAUCAUUAGAUUCAAUCCGAAUAAUCUCAUCAUUCUGACACCGUAGAUCAAUAGUUUUCCGUUUGCAGUUUACUAUAGCAUUAUGCAGAGUUAACCAAUCCAUACCCAGAAUUAUAUCAAACUCGUCAAAUGGUAGCAACAUCAAAUCAGCCAGAAAACAUAAAUCUCGAAUCAUCAACGGACAAUUCUUGCACACUUUGUCAACCAAAACACACCGGCCCAAGAGGUUCAAUACUUUAAUUACAAACUCAGUAGACUCAACAGGCAAAGUCUUACUGAAUACUAAAGUCUCACACACAUAAGAAUGAGUCGAACCAAGAUCAAUCAAUGCAAUAACAUUAGUAUCAUAAAGAGUGAAAGUACCAGUAAUAACAUCUGGAGAAGAAGCCUCCUCCCGAGCACGGAUGGCAUAUGCUCUGGCAAGUGCACGAGCCUCAGAUCGAACUGCCAUGUCCUUUGUUCCUCUCUGACUGCCACUUACAUUACUCAAUUGCCUCGGCGGUCUACCUCGUACAGGUACUUUACUCGGUCUGGUAUUCUACACAGUGUUUUGCUCAGCUACCAUCGGACACUCUCGAAUGAAAUGAUCCUUUGAACCGCACUUAAAGCAAGACCGAUCAUGUAAUCUGCAAUCUCCAGGAUGCCAUUUCCCACAAUGCUUGUACUCUGAUCUAUUUUGUCGAACACUACCAACGCUAGCAACUGAAGUAGCUCGUGAACUCACAGGGGGUCGAUCUCGAUCAUACUUAGGAAACCCUGCAGUAGCUUUAGAUCGGCUAUGAUCCUCUCUGGAUUUCAUUGAGGUCGACUGGAAUGAUUUACUGAAUGAUCUUUUACGAGAAUCUCGAGCUUCAUAGCCAGCUUUCCUCUUCUCUUUACUGAGCUCCUUAACUUUACAAGGUCGUUCAACAAGUACUACGAACUCUUUUAUCUCAAGUAUACCAAAUAACAGUUUAAUAUCUUCAUCCAGCCCAUCUUCAAAUCUUUUACACAUGAUAGCUUCAGUCGAAAUACAUUCUCGAGCAUAUCUACUGAGUCUCACAAAUUUCCGCUCAUAUUCUAUCACUGUCAUACGACCCUGUUUCAAUUCAAGAAAUUCCUUAUGCUUCUGAUCAAUGAAUCUUUGGCUGAUGUAUUUCUUACAGAACUCAAUCUGAAAGAAUUCCCAGGUCACUCGCUCUUUCGGAACCACCGAUACUAGUGUAUUCCACCAGUGAUAUGCAGUGUCCCGUAGCAAAGAUAUGGCACAUUUCAAGUACUCAUCAGGGGUGCAAGAUAACUCAUCAAACACUCGAAUAGUAUUAUCAAGCCAGAAUUCAGCUUGCUCAGCAUCAUCAUCAUCAGUAGCUCUGAACUCUUCGACCCCGUGUUUUCAAAUUUAGUCAACAGGAGGCUUAAGUAAUCUCAUCGGAUCACUUACUUGAGGUAUAAUAGGAAUCGAAGGUGGAUUAGUCGGGGGUGGAGUUUGUUGUGCAACCGGAUUAGUUCGGACAUAUUGAGUAAACCAGUCAUUCAUCAUUUGGUAGAAGGCUUGUUUAGCCUCUCCCUCCUGGUUACUCGAGGUCGGUCGAGAAUCUACCAGCUCUGUCCCUUGUGUGGGAGCAGGCGCUAUACUCUCAACAUCAUCGACUACGGCUGGAUCGGGAUCCAUUACUAUACGAAAACACAUUUUUAGACAUCAGCAGUCAUCGCACUAUCUUGGUAUAAAAAUAUGGCAUGUAUAGCUAGACUCAUACAUGCUACAUUAGUCCAAGAAUCGAUUAAACCGUAGCUCUGAUACCAAUAAAAUGUAACACCCCUAACCCGUAUCCGUCGCCGAAUUAGGGUUACGAGGCAUUACUGAACAAAUACAACCAUUUUUAAAACCAACUGAUCACAAACAUGAAAAUUAAAUCAUUUUCACAUAGCUAUUUAUAAUUUACAAUCAACAUCUAACCAACAUCGUACUCAAACCUAUACAUGCCAUAAGAUCAAGUUCAAAUAUUUAACAAAAUACCAAAAGGGGUCGAAAGUGUGAUAGACUAUGCUGAUGAUCCCCGAGCUCGUAACGCAUCUCCAAAAUCUAUAAAAACAAAUGGACAAAAACAAUCAAAGUAAGCUUUUAUAGCUUAGUAAGUCUAUAGCAUAUCUAAAAUACAUAUAAAAGAAUCAUAUAAUUCUUAAAAUAAAUUUAUUGAAAUCACAAUUAUCAAUUAUAAUUACUAAUCGAACAUUGCUAUAUUAAGUCAUCUUGUUUAAAUCUAAAAGGAUGUGUAUUUAUCUAAUACACAUGAACGGACAAAUGUAUAUACAUUAUAUGCAUAUAAUCAAUUUACUAACAUAAUCAUUAAUUGCAUAUACGGAUUUCUAUAGUACUUAUUGUUCGCACUUAAUCGGAUCCAUUUAAAUAUAAUUGUUCAAAUACAUAUACCAAAAGCAUAAUAAUUUUAUACUUGAUCAACUAUAAGUGCCGAAUGCACAUAUACACCUAUACCCACCUAUGCCGAAUGCAUACAUAUAUACACAUAUAUAUAUAUCCAACAAUUUCGUGACAACCGAUAUAUAUAUACAUACUCACUAUUCACAAGGACUCGAACGAUUAUAUACUCAUCAACCACCUUAAAACAAUGUUCAUAAACUUAUCCAUUUCAUAUAAACAAAAGCAUAUAUAUUUAUACCCAAUGCAUAGAAUCACUUAAUUUAAACAGAUUCACUAGCACUUCACCUGAUAGGCUUAUAGUUUAAUUCAGUUCACCGGUACUUAGCCUACUAGGCUUGUAGCCUGAUUCAGUUCACCGGCACUUAGCCUGCUAGACGUAUAGUCCGAUUCAAUUCACCGGCAUUUAGCCUGCUAGACGUAUAGUCCGAUUCAAUUUAUCGGCACUUAGCCUGCUAGAUGUAUAGUCUGAAUAAUUUUACUGGUAAUAAAUCCGAUAGUCAUUUCUCCGUUGAAAUUGAAUUAUAUUCAAUUCUGCGUAACAAACAUGCACUUAAAACAUACUUGCAUAAUUCACAACAAUAAUUUCAGUCCAAAGAGCUGUAAUUCAUAUUCGAACUAUAUAUAUAAAUCCAUACAUAAAAAUUCAGCUCAAAAUUUAUAACCUAUAUCUUUGAACCACAUAGGUACAUGAAAUUCAAACAACAAAAUCCAGCUCAAUAACUUCAUGAUUCAACCUAACAAAUUUAUGUAUAUAACUUUUUAUCUAAUUUCAAUACAAUAACUUAUACAUGUACGUAUAUACAUAUUCGAAUCUAACAUAUACAUAUAUAAUUUCAUACUUAAAUAUAUUCAAGACUUAUUCAUGAGUAUACAUAUAUAUUACAACUCACAUGUACAUAUAUAUACACAUUCAUACCUUUAACCAAGUCCAAGGCUUUAUACAUGUAUAUGCUUAUAUAUAUAUAUAUUCGGACCUUAUGUUUACAUAUAUAUUAUAUAUAAAUACCUUUGAUUAAAAACAAGUAUUUAUACAUAUAUAUAUUUUUGAACAUGAUACAUAUAUAUAUUUAUAUCAUUCAUACUUAAACAAAAUUCAAUCCAUAUACUUUCAAUUUCAGCUCACCAAAUUACUAUAGAUAUACAUGCAUAUAUACUGAUUUAAUAACCUCAAAUUGCUAAUAGACUUACCUCGGAUAUCAGCGGACACGAUCGACUAUUCGAUUACUUUCGUUUUUCCCCGAUCCAAAUUCGUUUUCUUCGUUUUUUUAUCUUAAUUAGACCUAGAGAUAGCCGAACCUUGUUGUUCUCUUUUCUUUUCUUUUCUUUUUCUUUUCUAUAUUCGGCCAAGAUGAAGAACAUGGCAUUUAAAAUUUGUUAUAUUAAACAUAUAUUAGCCUUAUUUUUAAUUUACUAUAUUAACCUUUACAUAUAUAUAUAACAUAUAUAAUAAGGUUACAUUAGUCCUUUGCCACCCACUAACUUACAUAGUGGACUAAUUGCAUAGUAAAACCUCUAAAUUAUAAAGACAACAACAAUUAGGUGCUUUUAUAAUUAACCCCUAAAUUUUCAUUUUACGCGAUUAAGCCCUUUUAUUAAAUCGGACACUUAAACGACGAAAUUAAAACACGAAAAUUUCACACAAUCAAAUGCAUACAAAAUAAUAUUAAUAAUAUUUUUCUAAUUCAAAUUUGUGGUCCCGAAACCAGUAUUCUGAUUAGGGUCAAAAACCGGGUUGUUACAACUCUCCCCCCUUAGAGAUUUUCGUCCCCGAAAAUCUUACCGGUGAAUAGGUUUGGAUAACGCUCUUUCAUUGUAUCUUCUGACUCCCAAGUUGCUUCUUCAACCCCAUGUUUAUGCCACAACACUUUAACUAACGGAAUUUUCUUAUUUCGUAAUUCUUUGAUCUCACGAGCAAGAAUGCUAAUCGGUUCUUCCUCAUAUGUCAUAUCAGAGUUAAUUUCAAUCUCCGUCGGACUAAUCACAUGUGAAGGAUCAGAUCGGUAUCUACGGAGCAUCGAAACAUGGAAUACGUUAUGAAUCUUUUCUAACUCAGGCAGUAACAUCAAUCUAUAAGCAACCAAUCCAACUCGCUCUAUAAUCUCAUACGGUCCAAUUAAUCUCGGACACAAUUUGCCUUUACGACCAAAUCUGAGUAUUUUCUUCCACGGUGAGACUUUUAACUUGCUCGGUGUCAACGGUAAAUCGGAUACAAAAUCCAUCGUGACUCGAUCCCAUUUCCAUUGAGGUAUCAUGAUCGGCUGAAGCAAUCCAGAUGGUACCUGAUGCUCGGCUUUAACUUGCUGACAAAUUAAACAUUUCGAAACAAAGUCAGAAAUGUCUCGUUUCAUACCUUGCCACCAAUAGUGCUGUUUUAGAUCGUUAUACAUUUUCGUGCUACCCGGAUGAACAGAAAAUCGAAUACUAUGAGCUUCCUUCAAAAUCAUCUGAAUUAACUCUGAAUUUUUCGGAACACAUAAUCGGUUUCUAAAUCUCAAACAAUCCUCAGCAUCAACUAAAAACUCCGAAUCAAUAUUUAAGUCACAUUGAGCUCGUUUUGCAGUUAAAUCAUUAUCAACCUUUUGAGCUUCACAAAUCUGUUGUACAAAUAACAGUUUUGCUUUCAACUCAGCUACUAUCGCACCAUCAUCAGACAUAACCAUAUGUGCGUUCAUUGCACGCAAAGCAAACAGUGAUUUUCGACUUAGGGCAUCAGCAACAACAUUAGCCUUUCCCGGAUGAUAGUCAAUCACAAGCUCGUAAUCUUUCAGCAAUUCUAACCAUCGACGCUGUCUCAAAUUCAGAUAUUUCUGAGUCAUCAAAUAUUUCAGGCUUUUGGGAUCGGAAUAAACAUGACAUCUUUCGCCAAACAGAUAGUGACGCCAUAUUUUUAACGCAAAUACAAUAGCGGCCAAUUCCAGAUCAUGCGUCGGAUAGUUUUUUUCAUGCGGCUUUAACUGUCUCAAGGCAUAGGCUACAACUUUGCCUUCCUACAUCAAAACACAACCCAAACCAUUUAAAGAUGCAUCACUAUAGAUAACAAACUCUUUACCCGAUUCGGGUUGAACUAGGACUGGAGCUUCGGUCAAAAGAACUUUCAACUGAUCAAAGUUUUUCUGACACUUUUCUGACCACUCGAACUUAACGUCUUUUUGUAGUAGCUUUGUCAUCGGGGUCGCAAUCAUAGAAAACCCUUUCACGAACCGUCUAUAAUAACCAGCGAGCCCCAGAAAGCUUCGAACAUCAGAGACAUUUCUCGGAGGUUUCCAAUCAAGUAUAGCUGAAAUUUUACUUGGAUCAACCUGAAUACCCGAUGCUGACACAACAUGGCCCAGAAAACUAACUUCACGUAACCAGAACUCGAAUUUACUGAACUUUGCAUACAACUGUUUAUCUCGCAAAGUUUGUAACACAAGUCUCAGAUGUUCAGUAUGCUCGGUUUCAUCACGAGAGUAGAUCAAAAUAUCAUCUAUAAAUACUACCACAAACAGAUCCAGAUACUGUCUAAAAAUCUGAUUCAUCAAAUCCAUGAAAACAGCAGGUGCAUUAGUAAGUCCAAAAGGCAUAACCAAGAACUCAUAAUGUCCGUACCUCGUUCGGAAAGCAGUCUUUGGCACAUCAGAGUCUUUAACUCGCAACUGAUAGUAGCCUGAUCUCAGAUCUAUCUUCGAAAACACAGUAGCCCCUUUCAACUGAUCGAACAAAUCAUCAAUCCGUGGUAACGGAUACUUAUUCUUUAUAGUCACCUUAUUGAGUUGCCGGUAAUCAAUGCACAUUCUCAUUGUUCCGUCUUUCUUUUUCACAAAUAGAACUGGUGCACCCCAAGGAGAGAAACUCGGUCGUGCAAAACCUUUAUCAGUCAACUCUUGCAACUGUACUUUCAAUUCUUUUAAUUCAGUCGGUGCCAUACGGUACGGAGCUAUCGAAAUUGGAGUUGUCCCUGGUACUAACUCAAUACCAAACUCUACCUCUCGAAUAGGUGGCAAACCCGGUAAUUCUUCGGGAAACACGUCUGAAUACUUACACACUACUGGCACAGAUUCAAUCUUCUUUUCGAUCACUUUACUAUCAAGAAAAAAUGCAAGGUAAUCUUCACAACCUUUUCUCACAUACUUUUUUGCCGACAUCGAGGAUAUUAUUGCUGGUAAACCAUUCAGAUCAUUAGAUUCAAUCCGAAUAAUCUCAUCAUUCUGACACCGUAGAUCAAUAGUUUUCCGUUUGCAGUUUACUAUAGCAUCAUGCAGAGUUAACCAAUCCAUACCCAGAAUUAUAUCAAACUCGUCAAAUGGUAGCAACAUCAAAUCAGCCAGAAAACAUAAAUCUCGAAUCAUCAACGGACAAUUCUUGCAUAUUUUGUCAACCAAAACACACCGGCCCAGGGGGUUCAAUACUUUAAUUACAAACUCAGUAGACUCAACAGGCAAAGUCUUACUGAAUACUAAAGUCUCACACACAUAAGAAUGAGUCGAACCAAGAUCAAUCAAUGCAAUAACAUUAGUAUCAUAAAGAGGGAAAGUACCAGUAAUAACAUCUGGAGAAGAAGCCUCCUCUUGAGCACGGAUGGCAUAUGCUCUGGCAAGUGCACGAGCCUCAGAUCGAACUGCCAUGUCCUUUGUUCCUCUCUGACUGCCACUUACAUUACUCAAUUGCCUCGGUGGUCUACCUCGUACUGGCACUUUACUCGGUCUGGUAUUCUGCACAGUGUUUUGCUCAGCUACCAUCGGACACUCUCGAAUGAAAUGAUCCUUUGAACCGCACUUAAAGCAAGACCGAUCAUGUAAUCUGCAAUCUCCAGGAUGCCAUUUCCCACAAUACUUGUACUCUGAUCUAUUUUGUCGAACACUACCAACGCUAGCAACUGAAGUAGCUCGUGAACUCACAGGGGGUCGAUCUCGAUCAUACUUAGGAAACCCUGCAGUAGCUUUAGAUCGGCUAUGAUCCUCUCUGGAUUUCAUUGAGGUCGACUGGAAUGAUUUACUGAAUAAUCUUUUACGAGAAUCUCGAGCUUCAUAGCCAGCUUUCCUCUUCUCUUUCCCGAGCUCCUCAACUUUACAAGGUCGUUCAACAAGUACUACGAACUCUUUUAUCUCAAGUAUACCAAAUAACAGUUUAAUAUCUUCAUCCAGCCCAUCUUCAAAUCUUUUACACAUGAUAGCUUCAGUCGAAAUACAUUCUCGAGCAUAUCUACUGAGUCUCACAAAUUUCCGCUCAUAUUCUAUCACUGUCAUACGACCCUGUUUCAAUUUAAGAAAUUACUUACGCUUCUGAUCAAUGAAUCUUUGGCUGAUGUAUUUCUUACAGAACUCAAUCUGAAAGAAUUCCCAGGUCACUCGCUCUUUCGGAACCACCGAUACUAGUGUAUUCCACCAGUGAUAUGCAGUGUCCCGUGGCAAAGAUAUGGCACAUUUCAAGUACUCAUCAGGGGUGCAAGAUAACUCAUCAAACACUCGAAUAGUAUUAUCAAGCCAGAAUUCAUCUCGCUCAGCAUCAUCAUCAUCAGUAGCUCUGAACUCUUCGACCCCGUGUUUUUGAAUUUUGUCAAUAGGAGGCUUAAGUAAUCUCAUCGGAUCACUUACUUGAGGUAUAACAGGAAUCGAAGGUGGAUUAGUCGGGGGUGGAGUUUGUUGUGCAACCGGAUUAGUUCGGACAUAUUGAGUAAACCAGUCAUUCAUCAUUUGGUAGAAGGCUUGUUUAGCCUCUCCCUCCUGGUUACUCGAGGUCGGUCGAGAAUCUACCGGCUCUGUCCCUUGUGUGGGAGCAGGCGCUAUACCCUCAACAUCAUCGACUACGGCUCGAUCGGGAUCCAUUACUAUACGAAAACACAUUUUUAGACAUCAGCAGUCAUCACACUAUCUUGGUAUAAAAAUAUGGCAUGUAUAGCUAGACUCAUACAUGCUACAUUAGUCCAAGAAUCGAUUAAACCGUAGCUCUGAUACCAAUAAAAUGUAACACCCCUAACCCGUAUCCGUCGCCGAAUUAGGGUUACGAGGCAUUACUGAACAAAUACAACCAUUUUUAAAACCAACUGAUCACAAACAUGAAAAUUAAAUCAUUUUCACAUAGCUAUUUAUAAUUUACAAUCAACAUCUAACCAACAUCGUACUCAAACCUAUACAUGCCAUAAGAUCAAGUUCAAAUAUUUAACAAAAUACCAAAAGGGGUCAAAAGUGUGAUAGACUAUGCUGAUGAUCCCCGAGCUCGUAACGCGUCUCCAAAAUCUAUAAAAACAAAUGGACAAAAACAAUCAAAGUAAGCUUUUAUAGCUUAGUAAGUCUAUAGCAUAUCUAAAAUACAUAUAAAAGAAUCAUAUAAUUCUUAAAAUAAAUUUAUUGAAAUCACAAUUAUCAAUUAUAAUUACUAAUCGAACAUUGCUAUAUUAAGUCAUCUUGUUUAAAUCUAAAAGGAUGUGUAUUUAUCUAAUACACAUGAACGGACAAAUGUAUAUACAUUAUAUGCAUAUAAUCAAUUUACUAACAUAAUCAUUAAUUGCAUAUACGGAUUUCUAUAGUACUUAUUGUUCGCACUUCAUCGGAUCCAUUUAAAUAUAAUUGUUCAAAUACAUAUACCAAAAGCAUAAUAAUUUUAUACUUGAUCAACUAUAAGUGCCGAAUGCACAUAUACACCUAUACCCACCUAUGCCGAAUGCAUACAUAUAUACACAUAUAUAUAUAUCCAACAAUUUCAUGACAACCGAUAUAUAUAUACAUACUCACUAUUCACAAGGACUCGAACGAUUAUAUACUCAUCAACCACCUUAAAACAAUGUUCAUAAACUUAUCCAUUUCAUAUAAACAAAAGCAUAUAUAUUUAUACCCAAUGCAUAGAAUCACUUAAUUUAAACAGAUUCACUGGCACUUCACCUGAUAGGCUUAUAGUUUAAUUCAGUUCACCGGCACUUAGCCUACUAGGCUUGUAGCCUGAUUCAGUUCACCGGCACUUAGCCUGCUAGACGUAUAGUCCGAUUCAAUUCACCGGCAUUUAGCCUGCUAGACGUAUAGUCCGAUUCAAUUUACCGGCACUUAGCCUGCUAGAUGUAUAGUCUGAAUAAUUUUACUGGUAAUAAAUCCGAUAGUCAUUUCUCCGUUGAAAUUGAAUUAUAUUCAAUUCUGCGUAACAAACAUGCACUUAAAACAUACUUGCAUAAUUCACAACAAUAAUUUCAGUCCAAAGAGCUGUAAUUCAUAUUCGAACUAUAUAUAUAUAAAUCCAUACAUAAAAAUUCAGCUCAAAAUUUAUAACCUAUAUCUUUGAACCACAUAGGUACAUGAAAUUCAAACAACAAAAUCCAGCUCAAUAACUUCAUGAUUCAACCUAACAAAUUUAUGUAUAUAACUUUUUAUCUAAUUUCAAUACAAUAACUUAUACAUGUACGUAUAUACAUAUUUGAAUCUAACAUAUACAUAUAUAAUUUCAUACUUAAAUAUAUUCAAGACUUAUUCAUGAGUAUACAUAUAUAUUACAACUCACAUGUACAUAUAUAUACACAUUCAUACCUUUAACCAAGUCCAAGGCUUUAUACAUGUAUAUGCUUAUAUAUAUAUAUAUUCGGACCUUAUGUUUACAUAUAUAUUAUAUAUAAAUACCUUUGAUUAAAAACAAGUAUUUAUACAUAUAUAUAUUUUCGAACAUGAUACAUACAUAUAUUUAUAUCAUUCAUACUUAAACAAAAUUCAAUCCAUAUACUUUCAAUUUCAGCUCACCAAAUUACUAUAGAUAUACAUGCAUAUAUACUGAUUUAAUAACCUCAAAUUGCUAAUAGACUUACCUCGGAUAUCAGCGGACACGAUCGACUAUUCGAUUACUUUCGUUUUUCCCCGAUCCAAAUUCGUUUUCUUCGUUUUUUUAUCUUAAUUAGACCUAGAGAUAGCCGAACCUUGUUGUUCUCUUUUCUUUUCUUUUCUUUUUCUUUUCUAUAUUCGGCCAAGAUGAAGAACAUGGCAUUUAAAAUUUGUUAUAUUAAACAUAUAUUAGCCUUAUUUUUAAUUUACUAUAUUAACCUUUACAUAUAUAUAACAUAUAUAAUAAGGUUACAUUAGUCCUUUGCCACCCACUAACUUACAUAGUGGACUAAUUGCAUAGUAAAACCUCUAAAUUAUAAAGACAACAACAAUUAGGUGCUUUUAUAAUUAACCCCUAAAUUUUCAUUUUACGCGAUUAAGCCCUUUUAUUAAAUCGGACACUUAAACAACGAAAUUAAAACACGAAAAUUUCACACAAUCAAAUGCAUACAAAAUAAUAUUAAUAAUAUUUUUCUAAUUCAAAUUUGUGGUCCCGAAACCAGUAUUCUGAUUAGGGUCAAAAACUGGGUUGUUACAACUCUCCCCCCUUAGGGAUUUUCGUCCCCGAAAAUCUUACCGGUGAAUAGGUUUGGAUAACGCUCUUUCAUUGUAUCUUCUGACUCCCAAGUUGCUUCUUCAACCCCAUGUUUAUGCCACAACACUUUAACUAACGGAAUUUUCUUAUUUCGUAAUUCUUUGAUCUCACGAGCCAGAAUGCUAAUCGGUUCUUCCUCAUAUGUCAUAUCAGAGUUAAUUUCAAUCUCCGUCGGACUAAUCACAUGUGAAGGAUCAGAUCGGUAUCCACAGAGCAUUGAAACAUGGAAUACGUUAUGAAUCUUUUCUAACUCAGGCAGUAACAUCAAUCUAUAACCAACCGAUCCAACUCGCUCUAUAAUCUCAUACGGUCCAAUGAAUCUCGGACUCAAUUUGCCUUUACGACCAAAUCUGAGUAUUUUCUUCCACGGUGAGACUUUUAAAAACACUUUAUCCCCGAUCUGAAAUUCUAUAUCCUUUCUUUUCAAAUCCGCAUAAGAUUUCUGACGAUCCGGUGCUGAUUUCAGACUGUCCCGAAUCACUUUCACUUUCUGUUCGGUCUCUUUAAUCAAAUCAACCCCGUGUAUCUUAUUUUCACUGAGCUCAGUCCAAUACAGUGGUGUACGACAUUUACGACCGUACAAAGCCUCAUAAGGUGCCAUUUUGAUACUAGAUUGAAAGCUAUUAUUAUAAGCAAAUUCAAUCAAAGGUAAGUAUCGUUCCCACGUACCUUCAAACUCGAGAAUGCAACAUCUCAACAUAUCCUCAAGUAUCUGAAUGAUUCGUUCAGAUUGACCAUCUGUCUGCGGAUGGAAAGCUGUGCUAAAAUGUAGUUUCGUACCUAAAGCUGUGCUAAAAUGCACACAAAAUAAACACACAAAAUAAUAUUAAUAAUAUUUUUCUAAUUCGGAUUUGUGGUCCCGAAACCACUAUUCCGAUUAGGGUCAAAAACCGGGUUGUUACAAUUCUGCUUCUUCUGCAUCAUCAUCUUUGGUAGCUCGAAAUUCUUCAGCCCCUUACUUCCUAAUCUUAUCAACAGGUGGUCUCUCACUGAUGACUAUACCUGCAGCUAGGGAAACUACAUGAGGAACCUGUGAAUCCUGAAGGGGUGGAGGUCUUACACCCGGAUUCAUACGAACGAACUCGGCAAACCAAUCAUUCAUGGCUUGGAAGAAGGCUUCUCUAGCUCCUCCUCCCUGUCUAACUGAUGCAGGUCUUUCACUAACGUUAACAUCUAGUGGCACCGUCCUUUCUGCGGAAGUAGGCGCAUUACUCUCUACUUCAUCUGCACCAGCUCGUUCAGGAUCCGUAACUAUAAAAUAAAAUAUUUUAAAAUCGUCAAGAGUCGUCACACUAUCAAAAUAUAUAAGUAUGGCAUGUAUAGGUAGACUUUUAUUCAUACUGCAUAUUUCUGAGAACCGAUUAAACCUGCUCUGAUACCAACAAAUGUAACACCCCUUACCCAAGACCAUUUUCGGAGUCGAGCACGAGGCAUUACUUAUCUUAUCUUACUAACUCGAAGCAUAAAAACUUAUUUUAAAAAUUAAUUUCACUAUUUACAGCAAUCUGUCCAAUCGAGCAGCAGUUACUAAAUUAAUAAUAACUCGAGCUACGGAACUUGAAAUUUAACUUCGUAAAUUUUCACUGAAACUAGACUCAUAUAUCUUCCUACCAUAAAGUUUUUAGGAUUUUUUGUUUAGCCAACUAGUACAGUUUAUUAGUCAAAUUCUCCCCUGUUUCACCAAUCGAUUGCCUUGACCUCUUAUCACUAAAAAUAAAAUUUCUCAAUGUGGGAUUUUCGUAUAGUGCUACUGCUUGCUUCUACAAAAAAUAGACUCAAUAAGGAAUCUAUAAAUAUAAACUACAGCUCCUAAAUAUUUUUUUAAAAAUUUUAAUGAUUUUCUAAACUCAAAAUAGGGGUCACCAAAAACUGUUCUAACCCUGUCUCACCAAAAUUCACAUAUCUUAAAAUAUAAAAUUCAUUUUGCUACACCGUUAUUUUUAUCUGAAAAUAGACUCAACAAGAUUUAAAUUCAUAUAUCAUUCACUCUUUAAUUCAUUUUAUACUAUCCUAGGUGAUAUUUCAAAGUCACGUCGUUGUUGCUGCCUGAAUUCUGUUUCUUUGCAAAAUUGUACCAUUUUAUGAUUUCCAUGCAUAGUUUAUCACUUACACUCUUAUAACAACAAACACUUCCAUACUUCACCAUUUUAGCAACCAUUCAUCAUCAACUACUUACAUAUCAUUCUUUAUCAAGAUCAUAAAUACAAACAUUUAAAAUAACUAAAUCCCUAUACAUUCCAUACUCAACAUGGUUCAACAUAAAAAUACCGAGUUGCUGUGGCUGAUAGUGUGGACGAUCUCCGACUUCUUUAGGAUCCUUGAAGUAACCUUGCAAUACUAUAAGAGAAAGAGAAAUAAAAGACGUAAGCAUAAAGCUUAGUAAGUUUACUAGCAAAUAAAUAACAAUAUUUAACUCAGAUAAUUAAACUCAAGUGUCUAUAUCUCUAGUUUACUCUUUAGUUAAUCCCAUUCUAGUUCUCUUGCUUGUUUACUUAGUAUACUUGUGUGCAUAACUUAAUCUUCUCUUGCUGUAUCGUUGAAUAUCAAUUGAUAAUAUAAUAAGUUCUUAACUCUUAUAACUUACCUGAACUUGCCAUUUAUGUUUUUAACUGAACUUUCCUGAACAUGAUUCGUUAUUUAGCCCGUUGAGCUACAUUGGAACAAUAAGGAUACUCGGGUCUCUUCUGAUAAUAACAUGCCAAAGCCAUGUCCCAGACAUGGUCUUACAUGGGAUGUACUCAUGUCGGUGCCCAUUCCAUGUCCCAGACAUGGUCUUACGGGGGACCUCUCAUCUCGGUGCCAAUGUCAUGUCUCAGACAUGGUCUUACAUGGGACCUCUCAUCUCGGUGCCAACACCAUGUCCCAGACAUUGUCUUACAUGGGACCUCUCAUUUCGGUGCCAACGCCAUGUCCCAGACAUGGUCUUACAUGGGACCUCUUUAUCCAAAUGUCAUGACAUUCGUAUCCAGUAUUAUCCUUAUGUAUCAACGGGACUUUUUAAUUUUAAUUCUCUAUCAUUUCAUGCUUGGAUAAUCAUCAAAUAAAUUCAUGAAAUAAAUUCAUAGUUGCUGGAAAAUAGCAGCAUUAAUAAAAAUUAUUGAAAUAUUUCAUUUAUUUACCGUAAACUUACCUUGGUACCGAAUAUAGCCCAAUUCACCAACUUAGUCUUCAACUUUAUUCUUUCCUUUGUCUAACCUCGAGUUUCAUUCUUCUUGAUCUAAAAUAGAAAAUUUAACUUAUUUAAUACUCACAUUCAUCAAAACAGCCCUCGACUCUAACUUUUCAAAAUUAUGAUUUUGCCCCUAAACUUUUACAUAAUUACAUUUUUCCCCAAGGCUCGAAAAUUCAACUUCAUCUCAUAUUCUUAUGUUUUAUGGCAUGCUGAAUAUUUUUCUCUUCUAUGACAAUAUCAAAUUCUCACUCUAACACUUACUUAUGUACAUUAGAGAUUUUUACCGAUUAUGUCAACUUACUCGUUUUUGCUUAAAAUCGGCUAACAAAAGUUGUUUAACAUAAUUUAUAGCUUCAUAUUCUAUCAUAAAACAUCAAAAUAAACACUUUUCACCUAUGGGUAUUUUUCCAAAUAUAAACCCUAGGUUAAAUUAUUGCUAGAAUAAGCUAAAUUAAGUUACCGGGACUCCAAAAACGUAAGGAACAUUAAAAACGGGGCUUGGGAUCACUUACUAUGGAGCUUGGAAGCUUGAAAACCCUAAAUAUGGCUUACCCCCUUGCUGAUUUCGUCCAAAUGAAGAAGAUGAGCAUAAUUUGUCAUCUUUUUCCCUUUUAAUUCAUUUUAAUUACUAGAUUACCAAAUUGCCCCUAACUUAAAAAUUUCCUAUUUCACUUAUCUCAUGUCCAUUUUUGUCUAAAAACUUAACCAAUGGUCUAAUUACCAUAUAAAGACCUCCAAUUUAAAGUUUCAUAACAAUUGGACACCUCUAACAUGUAGAACUCAACUUUUGCACUUUUUGCAAUUUAGUACUUUUGACUAAAUUGAGUGCCCAAACUUCAAAAUUUUCGAAUAAAAUUUUCAUGAAAUCAUUUUGUGAAAUCAUAGACCAUAAAAAUAUAAGAAAAAUAAAAUUUUCCUCAUCGGAUUUGUGAUCCCGAAACCACUGUUCCGAUAAUCUUAAAUUUGGGCCAUUACAUGAUCACCUUUUUACUAGCUCAUACAUCUCCUACAUCAGACCUUACAUGCAUGCUUACCAAACUUUAUUCUUUUUAACAAAACUUUAUACAUAUCAUCGUAGCACAUCUUUCAUCUUUACUAAACUCAUAUUUUUACCAAUUUCUGUAGACAUCAUCAUCAUCAUCCUAUAUAUAUGCUUCUUGUUUGAACAGUUCAUAUCAAAGAGUCAAGAUAGAGACCCACUUGACACUCACCUACUGCAGUUCAAAGCUCUAAACUUAACCAUCCUUCUCAAACCAGCAGUAAAAACUGCUUAUAGAACAUAGAAUCACCAUUAAAAACCCAUUUACAUACAAAUUACUAUCAUCUUAAUCACUUUUCCACUGUUAAUUUAUAAAUAAGUGUUAAGUAGUAAAUAAAUAAAAAAAUUAACUAAGUUUUCAAAAAAAAAGUCACUGUGACGAGAAGAAUGUUAAAAUUAAUUGGUGUUUGUUAACUCAUAUGUUUUUCUAAAAAUGGGUUAAGUUUUCUUCUGAAAUAAACAAAUGUUUUAAAAUGAUUGUUUUAUAAACUCCGAUCGUACUAUCCCAUCUUGGUGGCUGAUGUAAUAUCCCAAAUUCAGGUCUAACAUCUAAGUCGGGUUGGAUAGGUUACAAUAUAUAUAGAAAGAUUGAUAAAUAAUGCAAACUUGAAUACAAGCAAAGAAAGAAAUCAAUCAAUGUGAAUGACUAACAAGUUUAAAAUCAUAUAUUUGCAUUAUAUUUUGUAAAGCACAAGAUUGUCAUGGAAUUAGACAAUUUGUUUUGAUAAUGGUUAUAUUUUAUAUAGAUUUACUUUUAUGCACUUUCAUAUUGAGUUGAUCAAAAGUUUUGAAACUUUAUAGAAAAUUUGAAUGAAAGAGCAUAUUGAUAUAUAUGCUAUCUUGAGUGUUGAAUUAAGCAUUCUUUAGUAAAAGAGUGUACAUUUCGCACAUGGUAGGUGUGUUGGUUUCUUAUAUAUUAAUUAAGCACAAAUUAAAGAAAAAUAAUAUAUAUCACCAUAGUGUUGUAAUAUUUUGUAUAAUUUGUGAAAUUAUACAAGCAAAUAAGUUUACCUAUCUUGUUAAAUAAAACUCAUUAAGUUGGUUCUUAAUCUUGAAGAAUUAAAUAGGUUGGCUUCUUUAUUCAUUUUAUCCAACUACAAGUUAGAUUAAAGUUGUGGAAAUAGAAUGGUUGAAAAUUUGUGUUAAUGAGAAUUAGAGUUAUGGCCACAACUGAUGCCAACUAUUUCCUAAAAACAGGGAAUGAUGUCCAAAAACAUGCUGUAAAAUAAAAAUUUGGACAUGUUAGAAUAUGAAUUUAUUAUAUUAUAGUUUCAAUGUAAUACCCUUAUCCCAUCUCUGUUGCCGGAUUAGGAUUUCAGAGUAUUACUGAGAAAAAUAGAACAUUUAACUUUCCAACAGAAACAAUUGUACAAUUAAAUACCAACAUAUAACAAUUGAAUCUAAUCAUGGCAAAUAUUACACUUUUGGACCUUGAAUCGAGCCUAUGGGGCCCUAGAAACAGUUUAGGAACAAUCUGGGAUCAAAUCAAAACAAAUCAGAACAUUUUGAAAAAACAUAAAAAUUUAGGAAUACAGAGGUCACAGGCCAUAUGGCCAAGUCGUGUGACAUAGCCUAGAUUGUGUAAACAUCCGAAGUCAGGACACAUAGCUGUGUCCCAGCCUGUGUGUCUACUCAUGUGUAUAUUUGAAAUAGGGUCACACAGUCGUGUUGCAGACUGCCAAACGUGUGUGUAUUCAAAGUGAGGUCGCAAGACCAUGUGGCCGACCGUGCCACAAACUGUUUUGAGACACAAGGUCAUGUCUCAGACCGUGUAAAACAUGCACUUAAAAUAAUAAAUACACACGACCGUAUCUAGUGACUAUGUGUGGCACAUGGUCGUGUGGUAGCUUGUGUCUCAGGUCGUGUGCUCCAUUUUUAACCCCUAAAUCAAGCCAAUCAAGCAUCAUUUCUUAUACAACAAGACAUACCAUAUCUAACUAAUUUUACAUGGUUAAAAACACAUUCAAAUCAACAAAUACAUGCCAAAAUUUCGUUCAUCCUAUGUCUAACCAAUAUGCCAUCAAAAGGCACCUCAAUCCAUACAUCCAUUCAACUCAAGAACAAAGUUACAAUAAAUGAACAAGUUUUAUCAUUAGUUAACCAUUCAUGCCUAAAACCACUAAUCUAAUUGACCAAAAUAUGGGCAUACUCAACAAGCAACCAUUUCAAAACAUCAUCAUCAAAUCUUUAUAUACCAUUUAUGAUCAACUUAAUUAUAUUCAACACAAGUACACAUCCAAAAUCAAGCACAUCACUAAGUAUGCCAAAAUAACUUAACUAUUUACAUAUCAACAAUAAGACACCAUAUCCCAAAAUGAAAUAAAAAAGCUACCAAGAUGGUUGGAUAGUGUGUGCUCCAAAACAAUUCAUCCGGUUAGUCCACAAAACGCCAAAUCAACCAAUAUAGAUAAACAAAAAGGUAAGUUCUAAUUCUUGAUAUUCAAAUGCAAGAUCACACCACAUUAGUAUAUAUUUAUUUACAUCAUAAAUGAUACCUUCCAAAAUUCAUAACCAAUUCAUCAUCCACAAUUUCUCAAUACAACCAUUAAUAUUUAUAAACAAGAACUUCAUAGUAACAUUUAUCAUUUAGUAGUAAUAUAAUUAUCCAACAAAAUUGAACAAAUAAAUGCGUUUUAAGUCAUUUGAUACAUAGCCUGCUGAACUAUAGUAACUUGACUCGGAUACUCAUGAUACUACAUCACACCAAAGGUAUCAAUGAUGCAUAACAGAGGCACCGAAGUGCAGACAAAUGCAUGAAUGUGCAAUCAGAGGCACCGAAGUGAAAACAGAUGCACCAAAGUACAAACCCGUACGAGUGCGCAUUAAAACCCUAUUGGCAUGCUAAUCGUAUCCUAAUUGUUUACUACGUUCAACUGGGCAUUAUACUUAAAAUCAUAAUAUCAAUAAAUCCAUCAUUUAGAGGCACUUCUUAUUUCCGUACACAUACUAUAAAUAUGUAACUUUCAUUUCAAUAAUAUGCAAUAACAAUAAUUACCAUCAUCAAACAUUCAUUUUCUAUUUGUACUUAAUUGCAAAAUUUAAUAAUAUAUAAGUAACUCAUGAAAUUUCACAUAUAUACCAUUAACUAGAAAACAAUAAUAUAAUCAUAAAGUGACACACAUAUACAUAUUAUUACACUAUGAACUUACCUAAAAUCUACUUUCGAUUAAUACACAGGGACUACUCCGCUAUUUUUUCCCUUUUCUCGGUUAUUGUCUUUUUGACUCGGUUCUUGAUCUAUAUAGUAAUUAAAUUCAAUUUAUGAAAUUCACAUACAUUUAAAACUCAAUUCAAUGCAUGAUACCCUUAUGUUUUCAUUAUUUUCACAUUUUUCUUAAACUUUUACAUUUCUCACAAUUUAGUCCCUACAAAAUUUAACAAAAUUUUACAAUUUUCCAUGUUAGUUGAACUUCUUUCGAAACUAGUACAAUCCCUAAUUAUUCACAAUUCACAAAAUUUCUAUGCAAAUUUUAAUAAUUCACACAUUGAUCAUUAAACUCAAAAUUAACACAAAUUUUUUUACAAAAAUAUCCUAAUCAACAUUCAAAUAUGUACAACUACCAUUAAAAAUCAUGAACACCAAAAUUCCAUUACUAACCAAUCCCUAAAACUUUAACAUUUUUAUAAUUCCAUCCUCGGGUUUAAUAGUUUAAGUUACAACGAGUUCAAAAACGUAAAAAUUAUUAAAAACAGGUAAGAGAAACACUUACAUGCACCAAUUUGCUAACCGAAACUUCAAGCUCCAAAAAUGGAGUUUUUUUUUUCUUUUUCGGUGGGAGAGAGUUGAGAAGAUGAUGAUACCAUUUUUUUCUUUUGUUUCUUUUCUUUAAUCAAACUAAUUACUAAAUUAUCCUUUUAAUCUAAACUAAAUUAUUAACAUAGCAUGUCCGUAAUUAUCCAUUAACUAACCAUAAGGUUUAUCUAUCAACCAAGUCCAUUACUUUAGUUUUUCUUUAAAAAUCAAGCACAUUUAACAAAUAGAAGCCACUUUAGCAUCUUUUACAAUUUAGACCUUUUUACUAAAUUAACUAAACAGACAUUAAAAUUUCUUAGCCAAAUUUUAUUAUGACUCCAAUAUAACUCUAUAAGCAUAAAAUAAACAUAAAAUACUAACUCAUUUGUCGAAAUUGUGGUCCUGAAACCACCUUUUUUGAUACCACUGAAAAAUGAGAUAUUACAUUAAAUCUCUAAUUUAUGAUAAUGAAUGUGAGAGAAUAAUUUUCUUUGUUUAGAAAUACUAAUCAUUUUCUUUGUUUAGUAAUACUACAACUAGAAUGUGUUUCGACCCUAUUAUUAGAAACUAAUAAUGGAAACCCAACUUUUAAUUAGAAACCUCUAAUUUUAAAGUUUAAUAGGUAACACCCCGAAUUUUGGCCCUAGAAGAAAUAUGUUUUGAACAAGGGAACAGUUAGGAGACUGCACAUAAAUAUUUAGUUGUGCAAGGAAGUGACAUAAAUGAAUGUCUACUUCAGUGGUUGAGUGAUUUAGGAGUGUUUGGAACUGUCUGAGAAGUCAGGGAUUCAAGCAUUGCUUAUGCAAAAUUUUUAUUUUAAGUGAAUAAAAUCAUUGGAUCUAGAUAGUAAGUUCUUAAAUUAUUGUGGUUAAAAUAUGAUGCAAAAGAGUUGUUGGUCUAGUGGUAAGGGGUGUGUGGAGUGCACAUAGGGCCUAAGGUUCGAGUGGUGGCGCAUCAGAAAGGAAAUAUUUAUUUUGCUACUUGAGCUGUUUAGGUAGUGGAGUUGGACUGAAACACAACUAAGGGGAGUUUGCAUAGAAUUUGAAUGGAGUUGUUGGGGGAGUUGAGGAGAAACCGGUAGAAUAAUUUAAGGAGGGAUAAGGGGAGAGAUUUUAGGAGAAAAUCAAGGGAAGUGAGGGGAGUGAAGAAGUGUGCCGAAAGUGGACUUUGAUACUCAGGAAAUUUGGCCAGAAGGGAUACUGCUCAUUUUGGUAUACUUUUCAUUUCGGUUUUGUGUAGUGUUUCUCUCUCUUUUUGCUUUUUGGUGCCGAAUUUUUGCUAAGAUUUCGAGUACCACUCGGGUUUUUCUUUUGCUGCUUUUUUCUUUUAUCAUUUCUUUUGUUUUGGCCGAAUUUCUUUUUAGUUCCCUCCUUUGUCGAAUUCUUUUCUCUCUUCUCUUUGUUGCUUCUUUUCAUUUCUCUAUUUUUCCAAACCUUGACCGAACAGUGUUGAAGUAGUUCUGUGUUCCAUCUUUUGUCUAAAAUGCUCUUCUUCCUCUACUCCUUUUGAUCAACUAUUUGUCGAAUAUUGCCUUCUCUCCCCUUUUAUCUCUUUAAAUUUAUUUUCGGCUUGACAACAAUUCUCUAACAGUUCAAAUUUCUUGAGGAGUGAAAAAGUAUCGCAUAAUAUUAAAGUCAUCGAAACCUUUCUCUCAUCACUCGAUCAAAGGUAAGUAUGUAGGCUAGCAUUCUAAAGUGUAGGCUGAGUGCUUUCUAUGGUUUCAUAAGUUAUUAUGUUUGGAUUUAAACCACAUGAAUAAACAAUCCUAUUUAAUAAAAUCCGUUUGUAAUGCAGAUAUCCAUCAAAGAGAUUGUAGUCAACCUUCGUCAGUGAUAUAAGUAGGCUAAGUCACAUUUGACAAUCGAGGCUUUGGUGCUCGUGGAUCUUAGAGUGUUUUCACAAUCAGGUGUGUAAACACCCCACUGUAACCGUAGAACGACAAAAAGCUAAAAGGCCAAAAAUACGGUGUUUGAGACCACACAGGCGUGCGAUCUCUCAUGUGGUAAGCCCAACCCACAAAUCAUGGCCGAUAGACUGUAGAGGCCUCCAUGAACAUUUCCAUGGGCUUAGGCCGUAAUGGGCCACGUUGGGCCGAAAUGGGUCGUGUGGGUUCAAUAGGCUCGUGGGCACCAUACAGAUGAGAACCACGAUUUGUGAAAAAUACUGGACUGGGCUAUGAAGAUCUCAUAGCCGUGGAAAAAUCUGGGCUGAACAGGCCGCACAAGCGUGCGGGCCUACUUGGGCCGAGUAAUGGGCCUUAGGCCCAUUUGUACCAUUAUGACCAUUUAGGUUACCUGAGUCGCUCGAGGUAACUACGGACCUUUCGAGAGGUCGAUAUCUGCACCAAGACCCAAAAUAGGUAAAAUGAUCGAAAUACCCCUAUAGAGUAAAAUGACCGAAAUACCCCCAAAGGAUAAAAUGAUUGAAAUACCCCUAUAAGGUAAAACGAUCGAAAUACCCCCGUAGGAUAAAAUAACUAUUAUACCCCUAGAAGAUGAAAUGACUGUUAUGGCCUUAUGCUAUGUAUGACUGUUUUGCUCUAUGAUAUGUAUGACUAUGGUUGAGCAUGACAUUUUUCAUACACGUAUGAUAUUAUGUCAUGAUAUAUUGCAUGGGGAUGGAUUGUUAUAUUUGGAGGAAGUGUACUGUACUGACAAGGUUGCACGGGUCGCCCAAGACGACUGUGGACCUACUGAUGGCUAUAUGCCAUUUAUUUUACUGGCAGCUUUGCUGCAAUACUGUUUAAUGCUGCAACUGGUGCUAAUCUUGGUGUGUUUGGAUGGAUGGGUAGAUUUUAUCCCCCAUAUGGUGUGUUUGGCGGAACUGUAACACCCUUAACCUGAAUCCAUUCUGACAUUGUCUCACAAAAUUUAUUAUAUCUCAUAGUUUACAAUUUUAUUACUUACACCAUUUCUUCCAUGAGAAACUAGACUCAAUAAGUUUUAAUUCUAUAUUUUAUUCAUACUCUAAUUCGAUUUUCAUAAUUUAUGGUGAUUUUUCAAAGUGAGCCUACUGUUGUUGUCCAAAACUAUUUUAGUACAAGAUGUUUAUUACCAUGUUUAUAACACCCUUAUUUUCUUUCUCUACACUAUUUCUCAUCCCUUUCUCUUAUUUUCUCUUCACUUACAUAUUAAGAACAUAGGACCAUAUAUACAAAAAAACUUUACACUAACAUCAUUUCCAUACUUUUUCAAUAAUAUCAAACUUAAAAAUAUACUAAAAUCUUGAUGUACUUACCUUGUCAUAUUGAUUUUAAUCUUUAACUUGAUUUUCUCUCUCCUCCAGCUUCUAUUUCUUGAAUCUAACUUGAUAUUAUAGCUCCCCAUAGUCUCCUUGUAAUCUUUCUCUCUUGAUGGAUAUGGAAAUUCUUUUGAUUUCUAGAUGAAAAUAGUGAAUUUUUGGUGAAAGGACUAAAUUGUAAAGAAAGCAAAACUUUCUUUCUUCUCUUCUCCUCUUAACGUGAAUUGCAUGGAAAAGAUGGUGGGUUGGUUCCUUUUCAUCUUUCUUUCCACAUAUAUAUACUAAAUAAUAAAAUAAUAAAAUAUCAUUUAAAAAUCAAAUUAAAAUACUAAUAAACUAAUAUUUAUUUGUUUAUUUAAUCUAAAAUAUCUCCAACAUCAUCAUUAUCUUCUAGAUUUCUCUCUCUUCUAAUUGACCAUUUUGCCCUUCAUGAUAUUUUAAAAUUCCAUCCUUGAGUCAUCACUUAAUUUCGUAAAAUUUCAAUUUAGUCCCUCAAAAUUCCUCACCUUUUUUCAAUUUAGUCCUAAUACAUCCAUUUUCCUUAGUUUCUAGAUCAUUCCACCCUUAAAAUAUUUACACCAUUGGUCCUUCAAUUUUUUCAUAUUUACACUUUAACCCCUCAAUUUUUGAGUAUUUACUCUUGGGCAACAAAAUUUUUACGAUUUAAUCCUUUCUUGAGGUAAUAUGUCAUAAUAUACUUCCCAAUGUUGACAUAACUCCAAAAUUCCCUUUUUUGUCGCUUUAUUUCCUUAUUUUUUUAUAUCAAAGAUAAUAUCUUACUGUAAAAAUUUUUUUGGGGGGUAUUACAUUUCUCUCCCCCUCAAAAUAAAUUUCGUCCUCGAAAUUUCCUUAUUUUCUUUUGAUCAUGAACUUAUUUUUUCUUUAAUUCUAUAGUUCAUUUUUUUUGCAUAUAUUUACUUAGCUUAUCAUUUGUGUCUAUUCUUUAUUCUUUCAUUUCACAAUUUAUUUUUAAUUUAAUAUUUCAAACAUGAAUCAGAGAUAAACUUUUACCUUGUAACUAAAAUUAUUUACCUUUUUACCUGAGGCCCAGUGGACUAAAUAGAACACGUAGGAUAUAUGAAAUUGAUACAGAAGUGCUCUGUUAUACAUCAUUAAACAGAGAGCACUAAAGUGUUAUACGGGAGCAUAAAUGUGCUAAUAAUUGGAGAGCACUAGCGUGCUAUUAAUCAGAGAGUGCGCUAAGGUUCCUUAAUGAUAUACUACUAAUAUCCUAAUAGUUCUAAUCUCAUCUACUUGGGCAAAUUAUAUCAUGCAUGCAUACGACUUUUACACUUUGCGCAUAAUGCUUUUACAUACUUUACAAUUUAAACCUUGUACCAAUGAUUCGUAUAUUUAUACCUUCUCUACCUUUAAUACAUGUAAUAUAUUUCAAAAUUCACUAAUAAUCCAUAUAUAUCAUGUACUUCAUAUAUCAUUUUUACAUAUUAUGCAAUUUAGUCAUCAGCGCAAUAUUUCUUGUAGCAAUAUGUUUUUCUUUUAAUGACACAUAUAACAUUCAUCAUCGACAUGUAUUAUAAAACAUUUAUUCAUACUUUCAUGAGUUCCAAUUCAUCCUAAUCAAUUUUUUUUACUCAUAUACUUGAGUAUCACUUUCAACAUUAUCAGAAUUAGCUCGGUUAGGAAAACAUCUCUGUUUAUAAGUAAAACAAUUCUCAUCAGACUCGAGAGAUAUCACACUAUCACAGGUUACAUAAUGGCAUGCAUUUCUAGACUUCACAUAAGCUACGUUUGGUCCAAGAACCGACUAAAUCGUAGCUCUGAUACCAAUAAAUGUAACACUCUUAACCCGAAUCCAUUCUGACAUUGUCUCACAAAAUUUAUUAUAUCUCAUAGUUUACAAUUCUAUUACUUACACCAUUUCUUCCAUGAGAAACUAGACUCAAUAAGCUUUAAUUCUAUAUUUUAUUCAUACUCUAAUUCGAUUUUCAUAAUUUAUGGUGAUUUUUCAAAGUGAGCCUACUGUUGCUGUCCAAAACUAUUUUAGUACAAGAUGUUUAUUACCAUGUUUAUAACACCCUUAUUUUCUUUCGCUACACUAUUUCUCAUCCCUUUCUCUUAUUUUCUGUUCACUAACGUAUUAAGAACAUAGGACCAUAUAUACAAAAACUUUACAUUAACAUCAUUUCCAUACUUUUUCAAUAAUAUCAAACUUAAAAAUAUACUAAAAUCUUGAUGUACUUACCUUGUCAUAUUGAUUUCAAUCUUUAACUUGAUUUUCUCUCUCCUCCAGCUUCUAUUUCUUGAAUCUAACUUGAUAUUAUAGCUCCCCAUAGUCUCCUUGUAAUCUUUCUCUCUUGAUGGAUAUGGAAAUUCUUUUGAUUUCUAGAUGAAAAUAGUGAAUUUUUGGUGGAAGGACUAAAUUGUAAAGAAAGCAAAACUUUCUUUCUUUUCUCCUCUUAACGUGAAUUGCAUGGAAAAGAUGGUAGGUUGGUUCCUUUUCAUCUUUCUUUCCACAUAUAUAUACUAAAUAAUAAAAUAAUAAAAUAUCAUUUAAAAAUCAAAUUAAAAUACUAAUAAACUAAUAUUUAUUUAUUUAUUUAAUCUAAAAUAUCUCCAACAUCAUCAUUAUCUUCUAGAUUUCUCUCUCUUCUAAUUGACCAUUUUGCCCUUCAUGAUAUUUUAAAAUUCCAUCCUUGAGUCAUCACUUAAUUUCGUAAAAUUGCAAUUUAGUCCCUCAAAAUUCUUCACCUUUUUUCAAUUUAGUCCUAAUACAUCCAUUUUCCUUAGUUUCUAUAUCAUCCCACCCUUAAAGUAUUUACACCAUUGGUCCUUCAACUUUUUCAUAUUUACACUUUAACCCCUCAAUUUUUGAGUAUUUACUCUUGGGCAACAAAAUUUUUACGAUUUAAUCAUUUCUUGAGGUAAUAUGUCAUAAUAUACUUCCCAAUGUUGACAUAACUCCAAAAUUUCCCUUUUUGUCGCUUUAUUUCCUUAUUUUUUUAUAUCAAAGAUAAUAUCUUAGUGUAAAAAAAAAUUUUUUGGGUAUUACAGGAACAGAGUGGUGUGUAGAGGCUGGAUUGGGUAGGAUUUCUAACUGCAUAUCUACACUAAUUAAUGAUUUUGUAUUGUUACUACAUCGAUUAAUGAUAUUACAUACUGUUUACUGCAUGACUGAUAUUUGUUGCUGUUAUGGGCCAAGGCCCCACUGAUACUAUUACUGAAAUUGGGCAAAUGCCCUAUUGAUUAUUGGUAUUGUGAUGGGCUCAAGCCCAAUCGUUUAAUGUUACGGGAAAGGGCUUAGGCCCACACUGAACUGGACUGUUACUAUAACAGGCUCAGGCCCAAACUGUAUUUAUCUAUUGUUUAAUUGACUACUUACUUGUUAGGGGAUUGCACACUGAGUUUUCGUAAACUCAACCCGUUGUUUAACUGUACAGGUAAUCCCUAGUUGUAGUAGGGUCAGUGCUGCGAGGGACUCGAUGAUGGCCACACAACUGCAUCAGCUUUUGUUUUUAGCCUUUGAUUUAUAAGAAACUGAAUUUGGGUAUUUUUAUGUAAAAAGGCCUCUUUAAAGUUAUAAACUUUAAAUUGGGGUUUUUAUUUAUUUAGUUUGAUAUAAACUACUAGUUGUAGAAAAAGACGGGUUUUCAAAAGGUAAAUGUUUUCAAAGUUUCAAAAGGUAAAUGUUUUCAAAGACACCACGUUUUCGCAACAUUUCUAAAAAAAAACUUCCGCAAUGAAUGAGAUUUUGGAAAAUUUAUAACGUUUUAAAAGUGAUUAGCUUUUAAUGAUGCAUGCUUGGAAAUGAACAACCCGUUUUGGAAUCAUAGUUUAACAGCAAAAUGAUUAAUUGAUUUUAAAGAUUUCAACGACAACAAGUUUUACGCUAAACACCUUAAAGUGACACCGCCAGAUUCAACCAUAACUCCUAGGCCGGGUUUGGGGUGUUACAAUGUGUUUCAACCCUAUUAUUAGAAACUGAUACCCUAUUAUUAGAAACUGAUAAUGGAAACACAACUUUUAAUUAGAAACCUCUAAUUUUAAAAUUCAAUAGGUAAAAGCAAGUUAUCGUUAAGUGCCUGUGAUACGCUAGUAAAACUCAUUCUAGAAAAAAAAGUUUAAUGGAAACAAUUGUUAUCCAUUGCGUAUAGAGGAUGAAUUUGAAUACUAUUAAUUAAGUUCAUUGUUUAUUGUUUAAAUGUCUAAAGUAAGGGAGACAUUAAAAGAACUCUACCUUUAUAAACAUAAGAAGUGGUGCCACUUCAACAAGUAAAGGUAGGGUCUCUCUUGUAAAUGUUUAUUAUGAACAAGAUAAGCACAUGAUCAUUUUAGUGCUAAAAGUGAACAACCUCUGAUAGAAAUAUAAACGAAUAUUAUGUAUAGUGUAUUUCAACUUCUAAUACUAGGAGUUGUGGUUCAAUCUUCGGACACCGACAACUUAUUAAAACUUUGAAAAGCAUCCGCUUAUUGAUGGUUCAUAUUGAGAGGUAUCAUCUUUAAUGCAUAAUAUUUGUUUGAGUGAAUGACCAUAAAGUAUGGUACCAACAUUUAAACUAAGGGUGAUUGUUAGUAGUUUAUAAUUUUGGCAGUAAAAAUAUUUUAUUAUGUAGAAAAGUCUAAUAAAUUAUAAUUAUUGGUCAAAUAGUUGUGUUGUAAAGACAAUUUUUGUAUGUAAAGUUGUCUUAUAAACUUUAUGUAAAGUUGUGUUGUAAAACAACAAAAUUAUAUGAAAAUGUAUCUUAUUAAAAGAUACAUCCAUAUGAAAGGGUAUCUCAUGAAAAGAUACACCUAUUAGAUGUCUAUAUAAAAGAUUUUUCUGUUAGUUAUUUAAAUUGUUUUGCUUGGAGUGUUGAGGGCUUUGUUGUAUCUUGAAGGUAUUUUAAAAUCUUAAAGAAAGUGCUCUACACACCUUAAAGUCAUUAUAUUUUAUAACAUUAUUUUAUUUUUCUAACUUUUAUUUUCCUAUUAUUUAUUUUUCUAACAGCUAGAAUAUAGGAAAAUUAUUAUGUUUCUAGCUAUAUAUUGAAUACAAGUAUGUUGGUGUUUAGAACUCGAACUUUGAUGGUUGAUCGAGAGAUUUGAAGCAGAAAGAAGAGACGGGAAGUUUUAAGUAGAAAAAUAAUUGAAGACUGGAAUAUAUAAUUGAUUUGCACCUCAACUAUUUAAAUACAAAAGUUCAAGCUAAAAAUAGAAAAAAAAAGUUCUAAAAAUCUGCUAAAAAUCUGGUAACAAAAUAGCAAACAAAUCAAAAAUCUAAUCUCCUAAAGUCAAGGAGAAUUAUUCAAACUUAGUAACAGAAAAAAUUUAAAUGGCAGCAAUCUUAAACACAUGAUCUUAACACUCCUCCUUGUUUAGAUGCUACAAACUCCAAGUUUCUUCCUGAAGCUUUCAAACUUGCUAAGUGGCAAUGGUUUGGUGAAGAUAUCUGCAAUUUGAUCUUCAGAUUUGUAGUAACAAAGAGACACAUCACCACUCUUUUAAACUUCUCGAACAAAAAAUAACUUGAUGUUAAAAUGCUUAGUCUUCCCAUGAAAGACUGGAUUGUUAGAGAUUGCAAUGGCAGCCUGGUUAUCAACUAGAAUCUUUGUGCUUUGCUUCUACUCCAUGUUUAGAUCAACAAGAAUCUUCCUUAACCAGAGAGCUUGGUUAACUGUUGCUGUUGCAGCCAUAAAUUCUGCCUCAACAGUGGAUUGAGCUACAGUUUCUUGCUUCUUCGAGCUCCAAGAGAACAUGCCUGAUCCAAGGCAAAAACAAUAACCAGAGGUACUCUUCAUAUCAUCAGUUAAGCCACCCCAAUCACUGUUAGAGAAACCAAUCAACUUCAAUUCCCUAUGCUUUAAAAACUUUACUCCAUAAUUCCAGGUCCCCUUGAUGUAUCUGAUAACUCUUUUUGCAGCUCUCAUGUGAGUCUCAUUGGGACAAUGCAUGAAUCUGGAGAGAAUACUUACAGCAUUCAAGAUGUCGAGUCUGGUUGUUGUUAAGUACAUUAGACAACCUACCAAACUCCUGAACUCAGCUUCAAUGACUUUGGCAGAACCAUCAUCUUUGAUUAGCUUCUCUUUUUGAUUCAUAGGAGUACUCAUUGCUUUGCAAUCUUCCAUAUGGAAUUUUCUAAGUAUCUCCUUUGCAUACUUUCUUUGACAGAUGAACACUUCAUCUUGGCUUUAUUUGAUCUCAAUGCCAAGGAAAUAAGACAUCAGAUCAAGGUCUGUCAUUUCGAAGACAUUAUGCAUUUCCAAUUUAAACUGAUUAACUUGAUCGAUAUUGCUCCUUGUAAUCAAUAAGUACAAAUAAGCAAGCUUUUUCCUUUGAUUUCCUUAUCUUCUUUUCUUUUUGUGCUUUAAUCUGUGCCACAGUAGGAUUUGCUGGAAGAGGUGGGACCUCGUAAUCCUCUUCUACAGGUUCCCAAAGAUCCAAAGCCUCUAUGUAAGUCUCCAUGCGAACUGCCUACAUCUGGUAAUUGUCUCCAUCGAAGACUGGUGGUGCAGCAACUGAAAAACUGGACCCUCCUUCCAUAUUAACACGCAAAUAACCUAACAAAUCCCUCAAGAAAAUAGCUCUGAUACCAAUUUGUUGGUGUUUAGAACUCGAACUUUGAUGGUUGAUCGAGAGAUUUGAAGCAGAAAGAAGAGACGGGAAGUUUUAAGUAGAAAAAUAAUUGAAGACUGGAAUAUAUAAUUGAUUUGCACCUCAACUAUUUAAAUACAAAAGUUCAAGCUAAAAAUAGAAAAAAAAUGUUUUAAAAAUCUGCUAAAAAUCUGGUAACAAAAUAGCAAACAAAUAAAAAAUCUAAUCUCCUAAAAUCAAGAAGAAUUAUUCAAACUUAGUAACAGAAAAAAUUUAAAUGGCAGCAAUCUUAAACCCAUGAUCUUAACAAAGUACUACUUGGAAGCCAACACCCACAAACAUGAUAAAAGUUAAUUUUGAUGAGAGUUUUGACAUGGAAGCAAGAAAUGAGGAAGAGGGUAGUUAUGCAGCAUUGUGAUGAUUUUUUAGUCUGACUAUGCAACCAUCCAAUUUAGGGUGCAUUCUCCAUUGUGGUGAAAAAGCACUUAAAGAACAUUUGGUUUUUGCACUUAAAAUGUGAUGGAAAAAUGUUUUUCCACCCAAAUACAAAAACUAGGAUAUAAAUGUUUUUGACUUUUAGCUUUUAUGUUUGGAAGUGAAAAUUAUCAAAAUAUCAUUAUUUAUAUUAACUAUUUAAAUGGUAUAUAAAAAUUAGAUUAAUUUAUAUUUUAUAUAUCAUUAUAUUAAAUUAUUUAAAUAUUAUUUAUUAUUAUAUAUUUUAAUAAUUUAUAUAUCAUCUAUUUUACAAAUAAUUUAUAUUAAUUACUUAAAAAAUAUUUGGAACUUAUAUUUCAUGUAUCAUUAUAUUAAAUUAUUUAAAUAUCACAUAAUUUAACUAAUUUUUUACUUUCCACUAUCAUGUCUAAAGAAAAGGAUAUUUUAACUUUUAACAAGAAUUUUUUGUAGCAAUGGAGAACACCAAAAAUUAAUAAACACACUUUUUCAUAGUAAUUUUCAACCACACUUUUCAACCGCAACCCUAAUGAAGAAUUAAUCCUUACUAAAGUUACCGAAGCACUAGCUUCCACCGUAGCCAUUGAAAUGGCGCUCCAAUUGGGAUUGCAACACAUUAUUAUUAAAGGAGAUGCUCUCCAAGUGGUUUCGGAGUUGAAGGAAGACAAAGGAGACCUACCAACAACCGGACCUUGAUAGCAAAGAGUUGAAUACUUGCUAAACAGGUUCAGCAAUGUAGGUUUCAACACAGGAAGAGGCAUGCUAAUGAGGUGGCACAUCAUCUGACCAAACAGGGCCUUAAUUGUUUUCCAUCUUUUGUUCAUAUGUUUGUUUUGAAAAGGUAAAACAAAUCCUCACCUAUUGAUGUUAGAACGGUUGAAUUGCUAAAAGCAUGCUGCAUGCAUAACCAUGCUUUAGGUUAGGCUUCAAAUUAAAUAAAUUUUAAAUUAUUUUUAUUUAAAUUUAAUUAUAAAAAUAAAUUAAUAUCAAUAGAAAAUUAUAUAAAAUUUUAAGAUAUUUUAUUUUUCAAUAAUAAAACGAAUCAUUCACCAAACCUAAUUCUUCAAUUUCUUUUUAAUUAGAUCACAACUCAAGCCAAGCUAACCAAUAAACACCCAAAAUCUACCAUCAUUUUCAUUUUCAUUUUUUUUUCUUUUGUGACAAAGUAGACAGAAGAUUCGGUUUGGAUAAGCUCUACGUUAUUAAGUCAAAAGCUGAAGUAAUUUUAAUCAUAAAUUGUUUUAUUUGUCUAUAAUGCAAAACAAUGACCCAGUUAGUACAAUAAAGCUUUAACUUUGUGGAACAUUUCAGUCCAAAAAAAAAAAAAAAAAGAAUUGUGGAAAUUUUAGAGCAGUUGACCAUUUCUUCGGAAUUAGUUUUCUCACUUCUUGUCCAUAUUCCAUGUAUAUUAUUUCAAGAAAUUAGGUUUAGAAAUUUGCAUAAUUCAACCAUUGAACUAAUAAAUAUUAAACAAAAAUUGGGUGGCAAAAAAAAUCUUAUUAAAAUCAUAUACUAUUACUAAAAUUUAUGAUUAAAUUAGUGUCACGAGUUAACGGGACAUUAACAAAUUAUAUUAUUUGAGGGUAUUUUAAUCUUUUUAUUAAAAAAGAUGAUGUCUCAAAUUAACUCACAAUCUAAUCUAAUUUUUCAUUUUAAUAUUGUAAAUAUUUCAUGUUUUAUUAUUAAUUUGUUUCAAAUUAUACAUUUCAUUAUUUAUUUUAUGUUAUUUUUAAACACAUCUGUAUUCUAAGUACCUAAUUUUCACUUAUGGGUAUCAGAGGCGAAUCUAGGGAGGCUGAUAGGGGUCUCGGUCCCCUUAAAAUAGAAAAUUAUUAUUUAAGCCAUUUAGAAAAUUUUAAAAUUUUAAAUUAGUAAAUGUAAAAUUACACUUUGACCCCUCUAAAAUUAUAAAAAUUUGAUUUAAUCCUUUAAAAAUUAUAAAGAUAUAAACUAUUAAAAAUAAAAAUUUCAUUUCGGCCCUGCCUAAAAAAUUUUUUUGACUUCACCCCUAAAGUAUGAUAGAGUUUCUAGUAUGAAUAAUUUUCUUUGGAAGUGUUAAACAAACAAAGGAGUUAAGUAAACAGUAGUUUUCAUACAGAAAUAUUCGGCGUUGAUGUUUCCCUUUCGAAUAAUUAAAUUAAGACUUAGGAAAAGGGAAAACAAUGAAAAAGAAACUAAAAUUGAGCUUAAUUUAUGGAGUUGGGUUAAAAUUUUAAUAUUUAAAUAUAAAAAUUCUAAUAAUUUGAUCUGGUCCGUUUCAUCUAGCAGACUAAUAAUAAAUCUUAAAACAUAUUAUAUUUUAAUUUAAAUAAAACCAAAACUAAUACACUUGACCUACAUCUACAUGUGAUCUAUGCUUCAUUUAAAUUAGUCUAAAUUAGACGAGAUCUUGAUUAGGAGUCAUUUAUUUAUAUUAUAAGUCCCUGAAACAUGCAAAACUUACAUUUAAAAAUUAAUAUUUUUACGUUGUUGUUAGAAUAUAGGGUUUGUUAAUGUUUUCGUGUGAAGUCAGCUGUUGACAUUACCAAUCAGAUAAUGAAAAGGAAACAUGGCAAUUAUUCCAUCCUAAUUGUCACCAAAUUAAGUUAAUCCAAAAAUUACCAAACGUUUAGUACUUCAAUGGUAGAGUCAGCUCUUUCUUCUAGUCUAUCAAAAAAAGUCAAUUUAACCCCUAACUCUUGGAUGGAAAAGUUUUUGCUAUGAACUUGUUGAAGUGAAUCUCAUGUGAUAUAAACGCAUCGCAAUCUCCGUGUGUAACUAAAAAUAUUUGAGAGAUUGAAUAAUUUAAAGGGGAAAAAAAAAGAAUUUACUCCCUCCACUAACAAAUUACUCUUGCCAACGUAUGUAUGAAAGUAAACACCUUUAAUUAAUCAACAAAUGCUAAAGUUCGAGGUUUAGAAUUAAUUAAAUACCAAUAUAAAUAGUUAAUUACUUUUUUGAAAUAAGGAUAAAUCAGUUUGUGAGGUUUGAAUUUUUUGUAUCUUAACAAUUGUUCUGACUUUAGAGUUUGAAGGUUUUUUUUUUAUCCAAAUUAACCUAUGAACUUAGUAAUUUGUCUCUCAUUAAGGUUUAAAUUUUUUAUUUAUCUAAGUUAAUUCUUAAAAAUCUUGAAAUUCGAGAAUAAUUGUCAAGUUAAAAAAAUUUAGAUUUCAAUAUGAGAAUAAUCUACUAGUUCGUAACCUUAAUAUAAAAACAAUUGUUAAGUUGAAAACUUAAUUUAAAAACAAAUUCAAACCCUUCUUAAGUUUACGAUUUAACCCUUUGAAAUAUUGCGUUAACUAGUAAGAGUAAGAAUUAUUUUGUGUUGAUGAUUAAAUAAAUAUUUAAGUGGAGAUCAAGUUUUACCUCAUUUGUCAAUUGUCAGGUGAAGAAUAUAUACCCCUAAAGGCCUAUCAAAAACGGACCUAUCUCUAUCUAUAUAUCUUAACUAAUUUACUAUUCAUUUUUAAUGAAAAUCAAUAAAUCAAUGAAAACGUUAUAAAAAGAAAACUACGUGAAUAAAUUAUAUGUGUAAAAUUGAAAUAUUUCUUAUUUUAGUACAAUGGUAAGGAACAUUACAUUUUUAAGGAAAUGAUGUCAGGUUCAAACCUUAAAGAUAAUAUUCUUCUUCUUGAGAAGAACAAUCCCAAACUCCAAAAUGAACCCUUAUGAAUUAUAUAAAAAAAUUUUGAAAUAUUUCUAUAAAAUAUCAUUAAAGUUUUUUAUUUAAAAAAUGUUAUGGGUAUACUUUUACCUCUUGUAAAAAAGUCUUUCAUUUCUCAAUUCUUAUGGCAUAGUAAAUUUAUCAUUAAUUUUCAUCUUUAGGUAAAAAAAAUGGUUAUUAUUUGUGUAUUAAAUAAUUGUUAGGAUAAAUUUUAAAAUUGUAUAUGAAUUUUGGUUUAAUGUUAAUUAUAUACAUUAAUUUUAAUUUUAUGUAAUUUUAUAAAUGAAAUUUUAAUUUGAUCCAAUUCUAACAAAUUAUUAACACAGUUAUUGAUAUAACAUCAUUUUAUGUUUAUAUGCUAUAUACAGAAAUAAUUAUGUUUAUUCAAUAUAAAAAUAAAUUGAUGUAUUUAUUUCUUUAAACAUAUAUGAUUGAAUCAAAAUUAAAACAUCGUGUAUAUAUUUGAACCACAAUUAAAAUUUUACAUAUAAAAUUACAUAAAAUUACAAUUUAUAUACGUAAUAAACUAAAAUUCAUAUAUAAUUUUAAGAUUUAUGUCCACAAUUCUCUAAAGCUAAACGGUGAUGAUUACCAUGGAAAUUCAAUGUACUUAACUAAUUGGUUGAUAGGAACAGGCAUGAUGAAAUCCAUGAUGGGAAGAGAGAGAAUUCAAAAACUGGAAUGCCCCCAUUAAUCCAUGCAAAUAAACUUUUUCGGUAUUACAUCAUAAUUCAUUUAAUUUUAUCAUCAUCUCUAUGCCAUAACCAUGUUUAAAGUAAAAUACUUAUAUAAAUUGAGACAUUAAUAGUUUGUAUUAUAUAAAUUAUGACAUCCAUAUAUCCAUAUUAUAAUUUUUAUGAAAAAUUAGAGCUGGCAGAUAAAAAAUGGCUUACUGAUCAAUGAAAAAUAAACUUUAUUUCUUGUAAAUUGACUUAUCCUUUUAAAAAGUAUAAAUAUUUUUUUAAAAUUCAUUUAUGAGUAAUUUUAUUAUUAUAAAAAUUAAUUUUGCAAAGUCUAAUAUUAUUAUAUUAAUAAUUUUAUUUUAAAACUAUUUAAAAAUACUAAUAUCAAAUAUUAUAAUGUUGAAUCCUAGUAACAUACAUAUUAAAUUAUUUAAAUUAUGUAAUAUUGCAAUUUUAUUUUAAUACUAAAUUUUAACAACAAUAAUUUUAAAUUUUAGAUCAUAUUUUUAAUAUAUUAUUGAAAAAUAUUUAUAUUAAUAUUUUAAUAAUAAAUAUAUAUAUUAAAAUUUAUAAAUAUUUAAUAAUAAAUGUUUUAUAGUAUAAAAUAUGAAUAUUUUAAUUAUAUAGAUAUGAGCAUUUGUUUAAAUCAUGUUUAGUUUCAUUUAUCUCCCAACUAUAAUGUGUUAUUAUACACCGUCAUAUAUAUAAUAUAUGUAAUUUAAGCAUUGUUUAUUAUUAAAUUUAUAUAUGAUAUUAAUUAUUAUAAAAUAUUAUCUUAUUAUAAAAGAAAUUCUAAUUAUCAAAAAGAAAUGUUACUUUAAUAUUUUGUAACAAGUAUAUUUAUGUUGGGCUUGUUUCAAUAAUAACUUUAAAAUGAUUUUAGAAAAAAAAUUGUCAAAUAAUAAAAAAAUAUUUUAAGCAAAAUAAUUCAAACACAAAAAACUAUCAACUUUUCCAUAAAAUCAAUCCAAUUUUAAGAAAACAUUUUGUGAAAAUUGUUUUAGGUAAAACAAAAGGAACCUAUAUUUUAUAUAGUAUUUGAAAAGUUGUUGUAUCUAGAAUUAUUAUCUUAAAUAUUUUUUUAGGUCUAAUUUUAAAUUUCAUCCCUUUAUGAAAAUUGAGAAGUUAAAUUUUCUAUUUUACUUUAUCAGUCUGUGCUUGAUUGUUUAUUAAUUUGUCGUGUAUAAAUGGUUAAAUUAUUGAUUUUUGUUAAUUACUAGCAUGUAAAUUGUCAAACUACUUGUUCUCAAGGGAACGGUAAAGUUUAAUAGUAUUAUCAAUUUAGAACAAUUUUUGAGUUUUUUCUUUUAUUUUUCAUGUUCGAGUCCAUAAUUACUCCUUCUAAUAAUGUCGUCUUUAAAGUUUGAGUUCGAAUUCAAAUUCUCUUUUUGGAAGUACAAUAUGCCUUAUAAUUAUACCUAAUACUUUUGAUUUUUGUAAAAUAUAAGAAUCAAAAUUGUGUAGUAGGAUUAAUUUCUAGAUUUUUUAAAUUUAAAAUUUAUAAUAUUAUCAAUCGCAUCACACACAAAACCAAAGAACAAGAGAAUCUAAAAAACACGUGGACCAUUAAUUUAGGAAUGGACAUUAUAUUUUAUUAGUGGAAUAAACUCAUGCAAAAUGGUUGGAAAACACAUACAGGAUUAUAUAUACUAAUCAUUUUUAUUAUUAAGCAGAAUCGGAAAUAAAUAAAUACGAGCGAAACCACUGAAUAAUACAGCAUUGAAAUGCAAUUUGUCUACAUCAUUAUUGUUCUUCACUUCAAACGCGGAGACUAGUCUAGGCUCCCAAUCUUUUGCUUUAUCUCUCUAGAUAUAUCCUUUUCAAACUAUCUUUUUGUAGCUUUAUUUGCAUCACAGCAUUAUCUUUUCCUGCAAACAACUGUUCAAUGAUUAAAACAUGCAAAACAUUCUGAAAUAAUGCACCCUUACCAGAUGACAAAAAAAAAAAAAGAUUCUAAUGUAUCUUACCUUGGAUUGGAGCACGGUCAAAGCCGUGGCUUAGUAGUGGUGAGGAGGAGGGGGUGAAGCGUAGACAUAAUGGGGUGGUGGUGGUGGAGGAGACUUGUAUUUGUAAACUGGAGGAGGAGGUGGUGGAGACUUGUACUUGUAAGGGUGCUUGGGGGGUGAUGGUGGGGGUGGUGGGGGUGACUUGUACUUGUAGGGGUGCUUGGGUGGUGACGGUGGGGGUGGGGACUUGUACUUGUAAGGAUGCUUGGGGGGUGAUGGUGGUGGUGGUGGAGGUGACUUGUACUUGUAGGGGUGCUUGGGUGGUGACGGUGGGGGUGGGGACUUGUACUUGUAAGGGUGCUUGGGUGGUGACGGUGGUGGUGGUGGGGGGGACUUGUACUUGUAGGGAUGCUUUGGUGGGGAUGGUGGUGGUGGUGGUGGGGACUUGUACUUGUAGGGAUGCUUAGGUGGUGAUGGUGGUGGUGGUGGAGACUUGUAUUUGUAAGGAUGCUUUGGUGGUGAUGGUGGUGGAGGUGGUGGGGACUUGUACUUGUAAGGGUGCUUGGGUGGUGAUGGAGGUGGAGGUGGUGGAGACUUAUACUUGUAAACUGGAGGUGGUGGGGGUGGAGACUUGUACUUGUAAGGGUGCUUGGGUGGUGACGGAGGUGGAGGUGGUGGAGACUUAUACUUGUAAACUGGAGGUGGUGGGGGUGGAGACUUGUACUUGUAAGGGUGCUUGGGUGGUGAUGGUGGGGGUGGGGGUGGCGACUUGUACUUGUAGGGGUGUUUAGGUGGUGAUGGUGGUGGUGGUGGUGGUGGUGGGGACUUGUACUUGUAAGGAUGCUUGGGUGGUGAUGGUGGUGGAGGAGACUUGUACUUGUAAGGAUGCUUGGGUGGUGAUGGUGGUGGAGGUGGUGGAGACUUAUACUUGUAAACAGGAGUUGGUGGGGGAGGAGAUUUGUACUUGUAAGGUUUCUUGUGUGGUGGUGGUGGUGGAGGAGAGUAGAUCGGAGGAG
rnacentral:lncRNA from 1 species